rnacentral:lncRNA from 1 species
AACAUGGUUAUUACCGACUUUGCCGAGGCCAUGGCAUGUGUGGGAUGAAUACUAUGGUGUCUGCAGUUGUGACCAGUACUCGGGCAUCCUAGCUGCAUCUCCCGAGAUUAGCUAGUAUACAAUUAUACACUAUAAUAUAUAUAUGCACCUCUCCCUUGUUUUUUCUUAAUCCGAAUUUGAUGUUCCUAUAAUCAUAUUUCAAGAAUAUUAUUGUUAAUAUGCCGAAGUGGAAAGUCUUGUUUACGUCAAAACCAAUUCGAACCAUAUUAUGUUAGCUUUAAAUGCUAGAUUGUCAGACUUCAAAUUUAAGUCGGGAAAAUUUUACAAUGUGUUAAUGUAUGUCAUGUAUUAAUUUUAUCCUAAAAUUGUAAAAUGAGUCUCUAAAAUAGUAAUAUUAGUACUCGAAGUUGUAAUAUAUAUGAGUAGUUGUAAAUUUUAUAGUUACAACAUUAGUCAUCAUGUGUCCUUAAUGUGUCUUUAAAGUAAAUUUUAUAGUUACAACAUUAGUUAUCAUGUGUACUUAAAGUGAUAAAUUGCGUGCUUAAAGUCGUAAUUGAAUCCUUAAAGUGAUUAAAAAAAGUUUUUAUAUCUUUGAGGAUUUGUAUUACAACUUUGAGGACUCAAUUACCAUUUUAAGGACACAUGAGGAUUAAUGUUGUAACUAAUUUUUUUUACAACUUUAAAGACUUAUAUUACAACUUUGAGGACUAGUUAAUAUUACUCCCGUAAAGACUCGAUCAUUUUAUAACUUGAGGACAAAGUUGAUGCAUCACAUGCAUUAACACACCAAAGUUGAUUCUCCACAAGCUUGUUGAAGAACUUGGUAGAAGUUUUGAUUUGUUGAAAGGCUUGAAGACGAGGGUUGAUCAAGGGCCGUAGAGGGUUGACGUUGAUCGAGUUUGGGCCACGAGCAGUUCCAUAUGGUGGUUGCUCUUCGUCUUGUAGUUGGUGAAGAUGUCUGCUAUUUAGCAAUUUGGGACUCUUUGGGAUUUGGCAACUUCUAAGCUUGAGAUUGAUGAAGAAUCGGCUAUUUGGCAACUUGAUGAUUCUUCAACGGUUUUGGGAGAAUUCUGAGUUCUCGGGAGUAAUUUUUUUCUCUUGUCCGGAAGUCCUUAUCUUGAUAUGAGAGGGGGUAUUUAUGGUGUCGAUGCUCCUCCGUAAAUAGAAUGCAUUAAAGUCACAACUUUAAUUGUAUUUCCUUAAUGAUAUAAUUAAAUCAAUCACUUUUGAUUGAUUGAUUCAAUUAUUCAAUUUACUAUAAUUAAAUCAAUCAAUCUUAAUUGAUCGAUUUAAUUAUGACCGAUAAGGUAUUUCACCAAUUUGAUUAAAUUCCGACUUCCUUUUCGAUAAUCGAUUUGAUUUGAUUGAUGUUUGAUUAUCGAUUGACAUUUAAUAUUUGAUUUUAGUCGGGAUUGAUGAUUUUGUUGUCGACCGACCAUUAUCAAGCCGCCAUGUGUUAUUUCCGAAGACUUUUCAACUUUGCUGACUCACGAGCCACGUAUGUAAUUUGUCAGGCCCAUGGGUUGUAUGAAUAAUUUAAUAAUUAUUAUUCUCAUUAAAUUUUAUGCGUCUACAAAUACCCCCACUUUAAGGUGUGUUGUAGUCAUGUUGUUGUCACGUGUCAGAGGUGCGACUUGAAGUUAUUUUUGAUGACACUUGUGGCGUGUUUUGCCAUCCACUCGUUUUUACGUCUGAAAUAUUGGUCCGUACCAUGAUGACAUUUUUGUUGCCUUUGAAAUUUGUAUUUUGAACGCUUGAGAAUCAUGCAUUGCGACCUUUCCAUAUGUUUAGAAUACAUGAGCAAUUUGCAUGCUUAGUGGAUAUGAUCUUCAUUUGAACAACUUCCAUACGUGGCUUUAAAUUUACCCGUCUCGCAACUAUUUUCAAUUGGUAGGAUUUGAAUGAGAGAUGAAAGCUUUUCUUUUCUUUUCUUAUCGAUUGAUGCGUGGCUGACAUUUCCUUCAUUGGUAUAAAUAAUUACCACCUUCUAAAUGAGUUUGGUCUUCUACAAGUAAGAAAUCGUGUAAUGGCUUGAUGACUUCUUGACCAAAUAGAAAAGUGAACGCAUGAUGACAUUAUAAAAUUGUACUGUAGGGUUUUGCCCUAAUCACUGUAUUCUCUUCCGUAGCUAGCCGCCCGCCCGUACUUCUUGUAAUUCUUUCUUCCUUCUUCUUUUUCUUUUUCUUUUUAUUUUUUUAUUUUACUGUAGGCCUCAGUCGUGAGUGAAGUUUGGUACGAAAAUAGGUCCAACCUUGUACCGCGAACUUGACAACGAAAUUGUGGAGGCAGGAUCAAUGCGAUGGUGCCAUGCAAUUGCGUUGUCGUAAUCCUCUCUAUUGUUUGAUUAUUGAUUUUACUAUCGCAUGCCUCCAUGCUUACUGACCCAUCCUUAUGCAUAGUGUAGUCGAUAUAUUUUUUUUCAGUUGCGGCUGAAGGGUCAUCUUUUCGGCAAGCACAGUUGAAGAAAACCCACGAGGUACGCACAGUUGAAGAAAACCUUCGAGAGACCAGAGCCUUGAGGUACUACUUUUGUUUUAGUUGAUUUUCUUAAUCCUUUGGCUUGUCCAUAUGCUUUCCGGAAGGAAACAAAGAUUGUCAAGAGUGACAACCCUCGUUUUUCAUGGUGGGUGAGCUUACUCUUUAAUCAACUUUGAUUGUCAUCUCAUUAUGCAAAGCGGCAAUUUUUUUUCUUCGCCAAGUUCGGCAGCAGCAUGGUACUAACUCUUUUUUCUAUUUUUCUUUUCAGAAUUUUGAUGGCAAAUUGAAGAACGCGAACACCUAACCGCUUGGUUUCUUUUACGUCUUGGACGUGAGAUAAACCGUUGAAAGUGUUUAGGCUUUACGUACCCUGACAGUAAUUGAAGAACAAGAACACCUAACCGCUUGAUUUAUUCCACGUUUAAGAUGUGGGAUAAAUUGCUUAAAGUGUUUAGGUUUUGCGUAGACGUAUACUAUUCCGCAUGGUGUUCUCCAAGAGUUUCAAGAAGGACACAAACAUCAUCUUUGAAGAUAUCGAGGAUAUUGAAAGUGAUGGCACCACCUCUCAUCUAAGCUCGCUCAUCUCUAACAACUUCUCGCUCAUCCUUGAUUUAACUAAUAACUUUGAGAUCAUGGGUUCAAACCUCACAGACAUAUGUAAGGUGCGUGAGUUAUUUAAUAAAAGUUUUUUUUUUUUAAAGAGCUCGCUCAUCAUGAUUUCACCUCUGUGAGCUUCGAGAAAUUUUUAAAUGCUACGGGAGGACCAUGUGGCAGUCUAACGUGGUCCUACGAUCCAAUCAAAUUUAGACAUGUGGAUUUUUUACAACUAAAAUAUAAACAAAUAUUUUCUAUUUUUUGUGAAAUGACAUUCAUGGGUAUUUAGCAAGUUCAAAUUAGGGUCUAGGGUAUAGGGUUUAAAGUUUAGGGUUAGAGUUUAGGGUAUAGGGUUUAGGGUUUAGGGUUUAGGGUUUGGGGUUUAGGGUUUAGGGCUUAGGGUUUAGUAUUAAAAAAACAACAAAAAAUCUAAAAUGGUCUUUGACAAAAUAGCUGAAAUAAUUUUUCGUAAAGAAAAUCUACAUGUCUAAAUUUGAUUGGAAAGAAGGCCCACGUCAGACUGCCACGUGGUCCUCCCGUAGCACUGAAAAAUUUCUCAUGAGCUUCAUUGACGUUUCUUCAACGUGGUGGUUGAUUCAAUUAUUUAAUUUACCAUAAUUAAAUUAAUAAUUAAAUUCAGUUUAUCUCUUUAAACUUUAAGUCGAAAAUUAGUUUGAUCCCUGAUUUUUUUUUUUUAUUUCACGUCAGUCUAUAUACUUUCACAAUUACAUCACUGUAGUCUAAAAUUUGAAUUUGGCGCUGAACAUGACUCUGUUGAUGUAGACCCGACAACAUGGCCCCAUUUUUAAGAUAUUAAAUUUUAAUUUGAACAUAAUGUCCAAACUACCCUUAUCUUCUUUUUUAGGAGAACAAAAAAUUAAUGUUGGGUGGGCUGGGUUUGAAGCCUAGACCUUAUCUUUUUUUUUUUUAAUCACGUCUGACUCUGCUGAUGUAGACCCGACAGCAUGGCCUCACUUUUAAGAUAUUAAAUUUUAAUUUGAACAUAAUGUCCAAACUACCCUUAUCUUCUUUUUUUAGGAGAACAAAAAAUUAAUGUUGGGUGGGCAGAGUUCGAAGCCUAGAGCUUGCUGUCAAAUACUAUGCUCCAAACCACUGGAGUAACUAUUGCUCAUAUACCUUUUAGUACAUCUAUAUUUAUUAGUACGAAAAAAUGAAAGGAAAAUAAUAAAUAAUAAAACUAUUUGUGAUUGUGUUCCUACCAUUCACGCCCAGACCUUUACUCCAUGCCUUCACUGAAGGUCAUAAUCCCAGAAUUUUUUUUUCUUUCAGUUUGUUUAUCCUCCUCUUCUUUUUCUUCUUUUUCCUUCAAAUCAAACUAUCAAAGAAAUCACGCUGCAAAUUCCGACCGGGAGGAUGAAGGGUGAGACGGCUUCUUCGUCGUCGGGGAAGCUAAGGAGCUUAAGGAUUGUUUCUGACGAUUCUUGAGCUUGGCAGAAGAGGGGUUUGAUAGGAAAUUCGGCAUCGAUGCGAUGGCGGAACUUCUCUGCUUUUGAGGAGCUUUGUGGCUGGAUUGGUGGGGUGGGGGGGGGGGGGGGGGGGGGAUUUGGGGGUUUGGGGUUUUCAAUGAAUUGGCUUGGUGGUCGACGGCGAUUCGGAGGUUGAAAUUGAUGGGGUGGCAUCCUCGAGGCUGCGUUCGAGGCCGGGAUCAGAGGGGUGAGGCGGAGGGACUAGGUCGUGGUCGCCUAAAGUUUAUUUUAUUUUAUUUUUUUUCCCUAGUCUCUUUAUUUCAAAAUGUCUGUUUUGUCCUUCUUAUGGGUCAUCCUGUCUGGUCCACAUCAGCAGAUGAUGUCAUGUUCGGAGUCAAAUUCAAAAUUUUAGACCACAUUGAUAUAAUUGUGAAAGUACAAGAACUGACGUGAUAAAAAAAAAUCAAGACCAAACUGAUUUUCGAACAAAAAAUUUGAGGGAGUAAACUGAAUUUAAUCCUUAAAUCAAUCAGUCUUAAUUAAUCGAUUUAAUUAUGACCGAUAAAGUAUUUCACUAAUUUGAUUAAAUUCCGACUUCAUUUUUAAUAAUCGAUUUGAUUUGAUUGAUGUCUGAUUAUCGAUUAAUGUUUAAUAUUUGAUUUUAAUUAGGAUUGAUGAUUUUGUUGUCGACCGACCAUUCACACGCCGCCACGUGACAUUUUCGAAGACUUUUCAACUUUACUGACUCACGAGCCACGUAUGCAAUUUGUCAGACCCCUGAGUUGUAUGAAUAAUUUCCGAAGACUUUUCGAUAAUCGAUUUGAUUUGAUUGAUAUCUGAUUAUUGAUUGACAUUUAAUAUUUGAUUUUAGUCGGGAUUGAUGAUUUUAUUGUCGACCGACCAUUCACACGCCGUCACGUGUCAUUUCCGAAAACUUUUCAACUUUGCUGACUCACGAGCCACAUAUGCAAUUUUUCGGGCCCCUGGGUUGUAUGAAUAAUUUAAUUGCUUCAGUUCUAUAUAUACCGCGUCCCACAUGUUUCAUCAAGUGUCAGAUAAUACAGAACCUACUUCGCCAAAAUGAAGAAAAUUGAGGUCAGUAUAAAUUCCAAACACACCAUCAAACCAUCAUCUUCCUCUACACCACUACAGCCUUACAAGCUUACCCUCCUGGACCAGCUCACUCCUCCAACGUAUGUCCCUAUGGUAUUCUUCUACCCCAUUACUGACCAUGUCUUCAAUCUUCCUCAAACCCUAGCAGACUUAAGACAAGCCCUUUCCGAGACUCUCACUUUGUACUAUCCACUCUCUGGAAGGGUCAAAAACAACCUAUACAUCGAUGAUUUUGAAGAGGGUAUCCCAUACCUUGAGGCUCGAGUGAAUUGUGACAUGACUGAUUUUCUAAGGCUUCGGAAAAUCGAGUGCCUAAAUGAGUUUGUUCCAAUAAAAACAUUUAGUAUGGAAGCAAUAUCUGAUGAGCGUUACCCCUUGCUUGGAGUUCAAGUCAACAUUUUGGACUCUGGAAUAGCAAUCGGUGUCUUCAUCUCUCACAAGCUCAUCGAUGGAAGAACGGCAUACUGUUUUCUCAAGUCCUGGGGUGCUGUUUUUCGAGGGUGUCGUGAAGAUGUCAUACAUCCUAGUCUCUCUGAAGCAGCAUUGCUUUUCCCACCGAGAGAUGACUUGCCUGAAAAGUAUGCCGGUCAGAUGGAAGGGUUAUGGUUUGCCGGAAAGAAUGUUGCUACAAGGAGAUUUGUAUUUGGUGCGAAAGUCAUAUCUUCAAUUCAAGAUGAAGCGAAGAGCGAGUCCGUGCCCAAGCCAUCACGAGUUCAGGCCGUCACUGGUUUUCUCUGGAAACAUCUAAUCGCUGCUUCUCGGGCACUAACAUCAGGUAAAAUCAGUUUAUCAACAAGCCAAAUAAUAAAGCCUAAUGUAUUUGGGGUACUUAUUUAUAUAUUUUUAUUACGUAUAUCUAGUGUACUGUGUACAUAGCUCAAAGAAUGAGAAAAUAUAUGAACUUGCAGGUACUACUUCAACAAAACUUUCUAUAGCAGCCCAGGCAGUGAACAUAAGAUCACGGAUGAACAUGGAGACGGUGUUGGAUAAUGCCACUGGAAACUUGAUGUGGUGGGCACCGGCCAUACUACAGCCAAGUCAUACAACACCAGAGAUUAGUGAUCUUAAGCUGUGUGACUUGGUUAACUUGCUCAAUGGAUCUGUCAAACAAUGUAACGGUGAUUACUUUGAGACUUUCAAGGGUAAAGAGGGAUAUGGAAGAAUGUGUGAGUAUCUAGAUUUUCAGAGGACUAUGAGUUCUAUGGAACCAGCACCAGAGAUUUAUUUAUUCUCGAGCUGGACUAAUUUUUUCAAUGCACUUGAUUUUGGAUGGGGGAGGACAUCAUGGAUUGGAGUUACGGGAAAAAUUGAAUCUGCAUUUUGCAAUUCCACAAUGUUGGUUCCAACACAAUGCGAUAAUGGAAUUGAAGCAUGGGUGAAUCUAGAAGAAGAGAAAAUGGCUAUGCUAGAACAAGAUCCCCAGUUUCUAGCGGUAGCAUCUCCAAACCCCCCAAUUUCAAGGUGUUGAUUAAAAAAGAUUAUGUGGCUCGUGCAAUGUUUCGAUUUUGUAGUGAAUAAGGUUUAAAUUAGUUCACCAGCCAAUCAAUAAGAUGCAAGUAUGAUAGACUCUGUCUACGUAUGUUAUCCGAAUGUGUUUUCGAUAUGCUUGUAACCAAUAUAGCUCUUGUUUGUAAUAAUGCUCUGUUAAGCUUCUAUCUAUAAAGUUAUUUCUCUUGAUUAAAGAAAAAACUAUACAAGUUUUGUUAAGCUUUAUUCUAUUUUUAAGAUAGGAUGUAUGUAGUACCUAUAAAGAUGGUUCACCUAUUAUUAUUUUCAAAUACAUGAUUAUCCGGUACAAUUACGUAGAAUAUUUCUAUAGCUAAAAAAAUGUAAUUUUGAUCCGUGACAACAUGAUUAAAAAAUUACAUAUUCUGAUACAUUUGUUCUCUAACGACAAGCAUGGCCAUAAUGCCUCACCUGAUCAUCUAUGUGAUGGGGUAGUGUCCUUUCUUUUUAAGAGAAGGUAGGCACCUAAUGUGAAGGCCUCUACGAGAGACUAAUAUUGUCUGAUCUUCUUUUGUUCAUCAAAUUAAAGAAACGAAAAUGGCCACAAUGCCUCACUAUUGAUAGAAGAUAGAACCAUACAAUAAUUUGGAACAUAUGCAUGGAGACAAGGAAAUAUAACACAAUAAAACCAUUAUAAUUUCACUUUAUGUGGGAAACUUGGCCAAAACCGAAUCACAUCCACGUUGGCAACAAAAAGUGACUGGAAAAAAAGAGCCCCCAAAAAGCUAAAACACUAUAAAAACCAGAAAACUUGAAUAAGCGAAAAACCAAAAGUAUGACAUUUACACACACACUCUAUCUCUCUCUCAAAGUCUGAAAACUUGCGCAAUAAGGUACCUAGCUCUCUGGUCUUUUCUUUCUAAUGCAUAUAAGUCCCUGUAAAUUUUAUGGCUUUUGGAAUGAUGAUUUUAUGCUUGUGGAUCUCAGAUGGGUUUGUUUUGUUUUGGGAUUUUUAUAAAUGAAUCCAUUGAAAAUGUUGAAAGCUUAUGCCUUUGUUCCUUGGUUCACUGUUCUGGUUUUGUAAAUUGUGUGUACGAGAGUUGAAAUGUUGGUUUUGGUAAAGAGAAAUGUUCUAUAACCAUGUAAGUUAUCUUCUAAAGUUGUUCGAGUACUGCAUAGGAAAUAACGACCUAAACUGCUAGAUGCUCUGAGAAACUUAAUUAUCCGAUUCGUUGUGAUAAAUUAAUAGAACCAUCAAUAGCCGUGAUAGUCCCUUAAUAUUUGGUGGCUAAUUAGCAAUGCAUUCAUGGUAGUUGCAUGUGCUUAUUUUGUGCAGUAUUCUAAUUCUAUCACUUGCAAAAUCGUUGUGGAAGGUCAAGAGGAGAAAACUGAAAAUGGGGCAGCAUGCAUCUCAUUUUAUUUUUUUAUGCAAUAGAGCCCUAUAUAUAAAAUAAAUAAUGUAUCUAUAACCUUCUCUAAUUAAUUUACUUAGUAAUUGACGCAAUUUGGCCGAACUGUUUCUAAACACACUAAGCUUCAGUUCUAUAUAUACCACGUACCACAUGUAUGAAUUCAUCAAGUGUCUGAUAAUACUAAACCUACUUCGACAAAAUGGAGAAAAUUGAGGUCAGUAUAAUUUCCAAACACACCAUCAAACCAUCAGCUUCCACUCCACGACUUCAGCCUUACAAGCUUACCCUCCUGGACCAGCUCACUCCUGCAAUGUAUGUCCCCAUGGUAUUCUUCUACCCCAUUACUGAUCCUGUCUUCAAUCUUCCUCAAACCCUAGCUGACUUAAGACAAGCCCUUUCCGAGACUCUCACUUUGUACUAUCCACUCUCUGGAAGGGUAAAAAACAACCUAUACAUCGAUGAUUUUGAAGAGGGUGUCCCAUACCUUGAGGCUCGAGUGAAUUGUGACAUAACUGAUUUCCUAAUGCUUCGGAAAAUCGAGUGCCUAAAUGAGUUUGUUCCAAUAAAAACAUUUAGUAUGGAAGCAAUAUCUGAUGAGCGUUACCCUUUGCUUGGAGUUCAAGUCAACAUUUUCGACUCUGGAAUAGCAAUCGGUGUCUCCGGCUCUCACAAGCUCAUUGAUGGAAGAACGGCAGACUGUUUUCUCAAGUCCUGGGGUGCUGUUUUUCGAGGGUGUCGUGAAGAUAUCAUACAUCCUUGUCUCUCUGAAGCAGCAUUGCUUUUCCCACCGAGAGAUGACCUGCCUGAAAAGUAUAUAGCUUUGAUGGAAGGGUUACGGUUUGCCGGAAAAAAAGUUUCUACGAGGAGAUUCGUAUUUGAUGCGAAAACCAUAUCUGCAAUUCAAGAUGAAGCGAAGAGCGAGUCCGUGCCCAAGCCAUCACGAGUUCAGGCCGUCACUGGUUUUCUCUGGAAACAUCUAAUCGUUGCUUCUCGGGCACUAACAUCAGGUAAAAUUAGUUUAUCAACAAGCCAAAUAAUAAAGCCUAAUGUAUUUGGGGUACUUAUUUAUAUAUUUUUAUUACGUAUAGCUAGUGUACUGUGUACAUAGCUCAAAGAAUGAGAAAAUAUAUGAACUUGCAGGUACUACUUCAACAAAACUUUCUAUAGCAGCCCAGGCAGUGAACAUAAGAUCACGGAUGAACAUGGAGACGGUGUUGGAUAAUGCCACUGGAAACUUGAUGUGGUGGGCACCGGCCAUACUAGAGCUAAGUCAUACAACACCAGAGAUUAGUGAUCUUAAGCUGUGUGACUUGGUUAACUUGCUCAAUGGAUCUGUCAAACAAUGUAACGAUGAUUACUUUGAGACUUUCAAGGGUAAAGAGGGAUAUGAAAGCAUGUGUGAGUAUCUAGAUUUUCAGAGGAUUAUGAGUUCUAUAGAACCAACACCAGAGAUUUAUACAUUCUCGAGCUGGACCAGUUUUUUCAACCAACUUGAUUUUGGAUGGGGGAGGUCAUCUUGGAUUGGAGUUACAGGAAAAAUUGAAUCUGCAUAUUGCAAUUCCACAGUGUUGGUUCCAACACAAUGCGAUACUGGAAUUGAAGCGUGGGUAAGUCUAGAAGAAGAGAAAAUGGCUACGCUAAAACAAGAUCCCCAGUUUCUAGCGGCAGCAUCUCCAAACCCCCCAGUUUCAAGGUGUUGAUUAAAAAAGAUUAUGUGGCUCGUGCAAUGUUUCUAUUUUGCAGUGAAUAAGGUUUAAAUUAGUUCACCCGUCGAUCAAUAAGAUGCAAGUAUGAUAGAUAUGUUAUUCGAAUGUGUUUCGAUAUGGUUGUAACCAAUUAAUAUAGCUCUUGUUUGUAACAAUGCUCUAUUAAGCUUCUAUCUAUAAAGUUAUUUCUCUAUUAAAAAAAAAACUAUGGAAGUGUUACCAAGCUUUGUUCUGUUUCAAAGGUAAGAUGCAUAUACUACCCGAAAAUAAUGUUCACCUAUCAUAAUUCUUCCACAUGAAAACCCGGUAAGAAUCACAUAAAAUAUUUCUAAUACUUUAGAAUCUAAUUUGGGUUUGUGACAACAUAAUUGAAGAGGUACAUAUUCUGAUACAUUCGUUAUUUAACGACAAGCAUGUACAUAAUACCUAACCUAGGAGGAGGGUGUACGUAGUGUUCUCUCUCCUUAAGAAGGCCUGCCUUUCGCGAAGGCCUCUUUCAAAGGACUGAUAUAAUAUAAUCUUCUUCUUUUUUUAAUCAAAAGAAACGAAAAUGGCUUCAUUGUUCAUAAUUUGGAAUAUAUGGUGGAUUGUACGGUGUUGUUUUGAGGGAGCUUCUCUCUCGGGUCAAGGGUUUCCAAUGGAUUUGUGCAAUGAGAUUUGAUUGGCAACAGUUAUUCGGGCAUCAACGCUCCAAUUUAGCACUCCUCAGUCCUCACUACCUCAUUGUUGUUGACGAUGGCGAUGACGACAUUAGCGAGCAUGGGUGAUGUGUGUGGCAUAUUUGUUUGUAUUGUUGCAUUAUUGCUUUCGGAUGUAAGGGCUUCGCCCUAUAGAUUAGCGAGCAAUUGGUCUCCUCUCAUUCUUUCUACCUUGAUCGAGUUGGAGAUCCAUGCACUUUAUUUGUAGUACUUUUUUUGGCCUCGCGUUUGCAAGCUUUGAAAUUCCCGUGAUUAAGGAAUUAUUCAUUUUUUACAAAAAAAAAGAAGAAGAUUUUUUCCUGAAAAAUAACACAACAACCAUCAUAAUUUCACUUUAUGUGGGAAAUUUAGCCAAAUCCGAAUCACAUCCACGUCGGCAACAGAGAGUGACUUGAAAGAAGUGCACCCAGAAAGCUAAAAAACCAUAAAAACUAGAAAACUUGAAUAAGGAAAAACUAAAGUAUGACAUUCCAAUCUAUUGUUUUAUGGUUUUUGAAGGAUUCAAAUUUGUCAACCACUUUUUACUUGACCACCUUAAUGACCACUAUCUAGAUUGGUGAUACGUGUCUUUUCAAAUUAUUUUACUUUAUUGUUUUAUUGUUGAUAAAAAAAAUAAACAUGUGUCACCAAUCUAAAUAGUGGUCAUUGAGAUGAUCAAGUAAAAGUGGUUGACAAAUUUGAAUCCAUUUCUUAUUGCGGUUUUGUUCUGCCAAAUCCAAAUCCCAUGACCCAAUCAUUUACACUCCCUCUCAAUCUCUGCAAAACUGACUGCUUCCCUUGAAAACGUGCGCAAUAAGGUACCUAGCUCUCUGCCCUUUUCCUUGUAAUGCAUUCAAGUCCCUGUAAAUUUUGUGGUUUUUGGUAAUGAUUUUAUGCUUGUGGAUCUCAAAUGGGUUUGGGUUUGUUUUGUUUUGGGAUUUUUAUAAAUGAAUGCAUUGGAAAUGUUAAAGCUUAUGCGUUUGUUCCAUGAUUCAGUGUUCUGCAAUUUGUGCCUUCUCUUCCGGAUCUGAUGUACGUGAUGUUCUAGCUAGUUGUCUUUUGGAUUGAAAAGAUAUUAUCUUUUGAUUGUUUUUGAUAGAACAUCAACAUCAAUCAUCAAUGAGAUGAAUCUGAAGUAGGUUAUUAGUUUGGAGAUAUGUUAAUGGUUAAUGAAUCAAGCUGAAGUUGUUCUGGUUAUUGGAGCAAUAGGUUCCAUACUGAAGCAUCUAAUUUUGAAUUUGCAAAGAGUGGUUGACGAGUUAUCCUUGGGAUUGGCGGGUGACAUUGAAAAAGUCUUGGUUUUGUGUAUAAGAGUUGAAAUGUGAUUUCUUUACUGUUACCAUGAUGUGGGUUCUACUAAAAGACUCGUUCUUGAAUCUGGGGUCAUGUCCUGUGAUGACUCAAUUCUUGCAAAACACAACUGAGAUGUGUCAAAAUGGGUUCGGGAGCGUCUUUAUAUAUCGAAGUAUCAUGAGUUUCGAUACUAAGUGAGGGUGCUGGAUAGAAUUGAGUUUGGAGGUUCAAUGCUUCAAAAACAAAGAAGCUAGAGGGAACGUAAUUCUUGAUGAUUCAAGACGGAUCAAUGACCUUGUAAUUAAGUUGCUUAUGUGCAAUUGUUGAGCUUAUGGUGUUUCCAGUUUGGAUACGGAUAGCUAUUUCUGUUUUCAGUAUAACCACCAUGUGUUGCAUCCUCUUACUCUUCAUCUUCAUUUACCUAUCUUUGAUCUGAUGUUCCAUUGGCAGAGCUCCCUUAUGCUAAACUGUAAAACCUGCAUUCCAGGUGGUCAUUCUGUUAGAACUUUGGAAGGUCUCGGAAAGGAAACACUCGUCGACAAAUUUUGGGAGCAGUUGCAUAAAAGGAAUGGUCUCCCAACUCGGAGAUAAUGGAGACGCGUACUGGAAAUUCCCGUCCCAAUAAAAAGCAAUCGUCGGAGAAGUCUAAAUCUGCCACUGAAGAGAAAAGGCCUGCAGAAAAGAAGCAAACACUUCUGUGUUUGUCAACUAUGGUAAGUUCAUUAGAUAGUAAGUACUGAGUUUUCUAACAUCGGUGUAACACCAUGCAACUAACUCAGUACUGUAGAAUAGACAUCUAUGUUAGUCUCUUUAGAUAAUAUGCACACUUUAACUUUUCAAAUGACGUCCUGCAUUAGUUAGUCAACUGUUCAAAAUCUCGUAGGUUACAAUUUUCCCAUCUCCAAAACCAAGUGUCCAUAAUCUUUUUCCCUCUUUGUUCACUAAACUAGUAAACUCCUCGUUUAGAUUAAUGUUCUAAAUCUUUUAGUUUUUGUUCCAUCUUGACAUAACUUGUGGCUCAUUACCUACGUUGCAUGGAAUCGGAAGCGGAAACGUGGAAGCGAAGCGUUUGGAAGCGCGGAAGCGAUUUUUUUGAAAAUAAUUUGGAAGCGAAAGCGUUUUAGAAAUGUGAGAAUCAAAAUAAUAUAUACAAAUAACAAAUAUAUAUCACCUAAUUUUAAUUUCAUUCAUUUAUUUUAAUCGUUAAUUUUAAUAAGUUGUACAAAUUAGUUUGAUUGUUUAGCAGAUAACAACUCAUUCUUAAAAAAAAAAGAUAUCACUAAACCUUAUAAAAAUAAACUUCUUCACUAAAAAAAAGUCCACCAUGAAAUAUUGAAAGCACACGUCUCUCUAAUCUCUACACCUUUUAAUCUUCUUUCUUCACCUCUCUAUGCUCUCUCACCCUCCAGGUUGCCGUCAUCUUCUUUAACUUCAUUCUCUCUCACUCCUCUCCCUCCCUCCAGUUUCAAAUCCUUUCUUAACAGGUCCUCAAGCAGAAGAUCUGAUUGAUUAUAGAUUUCGAAAGAGAUAGAGAGAAGAUUGAUGUGCCGCUGAAUCAGUUCUCGUGCAGUGGACCAUCGCGCUUCCAAAUCAAAAUCGUGAGCUUCCAUAUUGGAAGCAUGCGCUUCCGUCGUGCUUCCAAAACCCUCUUUUCCCGGAAUCACGAUUCCGGGCGCUUCCGAGCGCUUCCACGGCGUUUCCGCUUCGCUUCCGCUUCGGAAGCGGGCGAGUGGCCCGGCGCUUCCGUGCUUCCUAGCUCAUUACUGCCCUGUAAACCAACUACGGCCGAGUUGUACCAAAAGGAAAUUCGGCCUCUCAUCAAUGAGUAAAGGUUUUUUUUUUUUUUUUCUUCCUUUUGUGGGGGAAGAAGAAGUAUGCAAUAAUUUUGGAAGUAACAUAUCCCCUAUCACCAUUCCUUGCAACAAGCAAUUACUUCUGGCAUUUUGUGGUUGAUGUUGAUCAUUUUGUAACUUUUGUUCUUUCAUGAUAAUAAAGCUAAUUUCUCAUGUAGCUGCAAUUGCUUGGCAUGAGAGUAGAAGAAAGUGGAUAGGGGAUCAGCGGCUGCAAAGAAUGGCCAAGGAUCCAAUUAUAAGGUAUUUUUUCCUCACAAAGGUUCCUGGAUAGAAUGGGGUUAGCAAGUCAUGGUUAAAGAGUUGCACCUUAAAGUUUAAUAACAAAAGAAAAGUUGGAGAGCAUAACUGCCAUAACUUAUAUUCUUUGUAGGUACAAAUGAACUCAUUAACACUGGUGUGUCAGUUUUUAGGAAAUUACACUUAUAUUUGAGUAUCUGUCACUCUGUCCACUACUUGCACCCUGACUUGCUGAUCUGUAAAUCCUAGAUUUUUCAAAAUUGCUCCUUUAGUCCUUUUGUUUGGUGUGUGUCCAUAUUAGUAGCUUUGUCCAUUUAUGCUGUUAAAUUGUAGCUGCUAUAUGAAUGUCAGGAAGUUAAAUGUGAAAACUAUAUGCUGCAUAUUAUAGCACCAUUGUAAUGAUUGAUGAUAUUAGUGUCUUUGUCCAAUUAUUUUCUGUUCAAUUAUUGCUACUUCUUGAAGAUAAUGUGGAAAGUUUAUGUUUCAGCUGGUCAACAGCCUAUGAGGAUCUACUCUCAACCAAUGAGUGUUUUUCUGAGCCGAUCCCCUUAACUGUAAGUCGAUCAUAUAAUAGCACAUACCUGUCCAAUAAAUAUCUUCUGAUAAGUCAUAUAUCUCUAUUACUUGUGUUUAUUUGACAUUGGAAAUAUUUUCUAAAGUUUGAUGUUUUUAUAAAAUUGGUUUUAAGCAUGUUUUCAUACUGGAGCUCCACUUUAUGUUUUCAAAAGUCAUGGGUAGUUUUCUUGAGCAGCGAGGACGAAAACUCAUCCCUACAACAGUUUGUGGAUGCAUGUAUUGUGCACUGGGACAAGAUAAUGGCGAGGAGUUGGGUGUGCAUGUUUGUGAUCGGUAAUUUAUUUUCUAUGCUUACAUGUUUAUUUUUAGACUCAAGUUACAUGUUUAAAUUGUAUUCUGUUGGCCUUGUUAUAAUCUCAUCCGUGAUUCUAUUAAUGAAGCUUGUUAAUUACUGGCCAUUCCUUAUAUCAAGUUUUAUACGAACAUAAGAGUCUAAUCCUGAUAUGAUUUUGUCUUGUGAGACUCUCAUUGCAAUUUGUAUUCUUUUGAGUUCAUUAUUUCUUAACGUUUAUUGUGUUAGGUUUUAGACGAAUGACUUUACCUUAAGCAAAUUAAAUAUUUUUCUUUUACAUACACCUCAAAUAGUUUUACGCUUCCGUGGUGUUUGCUUAAAUGAUUUCUUAAAUAAACUGUCUUGCGUUUCUCUUGGUUUUUAUUUUAGAGACAUGCGGCACUGUGACGUGUCUAAACUAAGGAGGCGUAGUUUGGGGCGUUACAGAUUUAAUCUUUACACACUAUGAGAAUAUCAAAAUAUCACGAUAUUUGUGCAAAACUCACGAAAUCUUGUUAUUAAAUCAGCCGAAGUCAUCAUAUAUAGUCAUUAACUCGGGCCAAACUUAUAAAAUUAACACUAAAGUCUUGGCGCAGCUAACAUGAUUUGAACCCAGGUUGCCACAUGUUUGUAACAUCCUGAAAUUUCAAAUUUUUAUUUUUAAAAGGAAAGUUAUUUUUAUUUCGAUUUCUAUUAUUCUUUUAAAUUCUUUAUAGUUUUUGAAAAUUAUUCAAAUUUUGUUUUUGGAGCCCAUCGGAUUAAACUAGAGGCCGUGAUGAAUUUGUGGGAUUUUUCGGAACACCGUUUGGAUAUCGGAUAUAUUUUUAAUGAUUUUUAGAAGUUGGUAUUAUCUAAAAAUUUAAUUAAAAAUAGAAAAUCAAGGUCGGUCAAAUUUGGUCCGUCCAGAUUAUAUGGGUAUGGAUCAACUUGGACUUCAUUAUACCCAGUCCCAGACCGACUCCGUCUCCAGCCUCUAUCAGCGACGGAGACCUCCGGUCACUCCUCCGUUGUCCGGCCGUCUCCCGCCGCAAAACGACUGUCUACAGCUCUGUCUCGACGUCCCCGACCUCCCUGGGAUUCCAGCUUGAUGAGUGGAGCUCCGGAAAAGGAGGAGAGAAGGCGACUGUGUUUCCGAUCGGGUUUCCGAUUCCGGUGACGGCGGCGAGCGUGAAUGGUACUGGAAGCAUCCUCUCGUCCUCGUGGUCUUCCCUAUGUCCUCAGUUUCUUCAGAAGAGGUCGGGAGAGAGAGAUUCGAAGUGGAGAAGGAGAGGCUGGGUUCGCCGGCGAGUUUCCGAUUCCGGCCAAGUCGAGGUUUCUCACUGGUAUGAAUAGCUUCAUGUCGGUCUCGGGAACCUUUCCAUGUUGGUGGUUUUCGAAGAGAAGCUCGGAGGAGGGAGAAUCGAAGAGGAGAAGUUUCUGAAUUUUCCGGCGAGGGUUCGACGGAUUCCGGUGAAGCUUGAUGUCGACUCAGGUAUUAAAGUUGGUCUAUUCGAUGAGCUUUACAUGUUUCUAUAAUUGAAAUUGAGAUUGGUUGGGUGUUGGAGAAGUGGGAUUUUGGACAGGUUGUCGACCACCGUGUACGGCGGCGGCGGCGGUUGUUCUUGUAGUUUCUGGCUUUUGUUAAUACAUUGAUUGUGGAGGAGUGUUUUGAGAUGUAUUAGAAUUGCAGGAACAUGAGAAUUGUAUGAAGUUGGGUUUUGAGCAGUGUGGUGUGUGGCCACUGUUCACGGCGGCUAUGGUGGUGUUUUGAAAUCAGAAGACUUGUGUGAGGGAGAGGUUGAAGAUGUGUAUUAUGUUUGGUAUGAGUGUUCAUUCAAUUGGCUUUGGUAUUUGAGAGCAGGGUGCUACGAAUAUCUUGGUUUUGUGAUCAAAGUUGAAGUAAAGCAUAUAUGUUUGUAUGGUUGUGAGAUAUGGUGGUAACUGCAGCAAUGGAUAGUUGAUCAAGGUUCACAUGAUCUUGGAACAAAUGUCCAGUCGAUAACUUUAAGAUGUAAUUGGUAUUGCUAUGCUUGAACAAUUGUGUUUCGGUGGAUUGAAGAUUUGCCGGAAGGUGUGUAGUAAGAUGGGUGUCCAAAGUAAUUGAUGGAGACUGGUGUGUUCUCUUUUGAAUUAUUGUUAGAGAAAGAUGAUUAGAGGAGUUGGGUGUAAUGAACGUUAAGUUGGCUUUGCUGGGUUGUUGUGGAGUCUUAAGAGCAGUAUGGGUACGGGAACAGAAGAAUUGGAUUUUCAUUACUUUCAUAUGGAUUUGAUGUGUUGCUGGGGAGUAGGAAACAGUAAAGGAUUUAGGUUUGGUCAUGUCUGGGUUCGUUGAUAAGUUGUUAUGCCUACAAUUAAGACAUGAGAAGAUUGAUCAAGUUUGAGAUAGGCAAAUAUAAAGGAUUUAGUAGAAAAGAGGAAUUGGGUGUAGAGAGUAAAUUCGGUGCUUAGCUUGGUGCUUGGAGCAUGGUUGGGAUACGACUAAUUAUGGGUGGCGUGUGAUUUGGUAAUUGUCGGAAAAGGUGAGCGGAAUUGGAAAUAAAGAUUUUGAUCGUUUCUAAUUAAAGUGUUUGCCGACUUUAUUGGAACAAGGAUUUGAUGUGAGGGAGCAUGUUGCAAUCCGAGGAGCAGAAUGAUAAGGAUUUCAAAAUGCGUGCCGCGGUGUUAUUAAUUUUAGUAAGCGUCGGAGUCAAGGCUUGGAUUCCAGGUAGGGUCUCUCUCAGGGAACUUUUCUUUAAAUUGAUAAUUAGGUUAUUGUUGAAAUCGGUGCAUUGUGUGGCAUUGGUUGAUAUAACUCUUGGUUGUUAUCGAUUUUGUUAAAAGCAUGUGAUAUCGUUGAUUUAUAUGAAAUUAAUGUUAUUGCUUUCCGUAAAAGCAUGAGUUGAAUGUUAUGAUAUGAGUAUUGAUAUUCAAUUGACAUGCAUAAUGCAUUGUGAGGAAUUGUGAGAAGUGAGAUUGGUGAUUCUGGAGAUGAGAAAGAGAUUGAUAGAAUAGAUACAUUUUGUGUAGUUGAGUUUCCUCAUGGGUUGUCCAAGAUCCAGGGUAGUCCACACGUGCAUAAGUUCAGGGAAUGUAUGCCAUUUCGAUGGCGGACAUCGACAAAACAAUUUUAUCGGGUUUCGGGUUUGGAGACCAUGAGUAUAACAAGAUGAUUAACAAUAGAGGUACAAGCCAUAAGAUAUUACUGAUUAUUAGAUCAUAUAUUUGAGACAUUUGUGUCACCCCCGGUUGGUAAAAUACACGGUAUGGGACGUGUAGGCUCACAUAUCUUUGAUGUAUGGACUGAUAGCCAGUAAUUGAGGAAGACAUUCAUUAGCAUACAUGUAUCAAAUUGUCGUUAUUUAUUUAAAGUAUUAUUUGAUGUUUGAUAACUUGUUUGUGCGAUGUAGUUAAUUAUAACUUAAAAAGGUUUGGCUCUUUGGCCCUACUAAGCGUAAGCUCACCCCUAUAAACUUUUGUUCAGGUACGUUUGAGGACACGUUUUUCUAGAAGCGUAACUGUGAAGUUUAGCUGACGUGUACGAGAGUAGAAGAGUUACAGAAGAUUAGAAGUCAGAUAGAUCGUAAGGGCUUAUCUUUUUGUCUUUGUAAUUGUUUUUUGUUAUUGUAAACGUUUUAUUUUCUUUUAUUUCUGGAAAAGUAUUUGAAAUUGUUUUAUUUUCUUUUACUUUUCCCGCUCAUGUCUCGGGUACGGCGUCAGGUGCUUGGAAACCACCGACACCGGGUCCGGGGUUUGAUGUAUGGACUAGCCAGUAAUUGAGGAAGACAUUCAUUAGCAUACAUGUAUCAAAUUGUCGUUAUUUAUUUAAAGUAUUAUUUGAUGUUUGAUCACUUGUUUGUGCGAUGUAGUUAAGUAUAACCUAAAAAGGUUUGGCUCUACUGAGUGUAAGCUCAUCCCUAUAGAUUUUUGUUUAGGUACGUUUGAGGAUACGUAUUUCUAGAAGCGUAACUGUGAAGUUUAGCUGACGUGUACGAGAGUAAAAGAGUUACGGAAGAUUAGAAGUCAGAUAGAUUGUAAGGGCUCAUCUUUUUGUCUUUGUAAUUGUUUUUUGUUAUUGUAAACGUUUUAUUUUCUUUUAUUUCUGGAAAAGUAUUUGAAAUUGUUUUAUUUUCUUUUAUUUUUUCCGCUCACGUCUUGGGUACGGCAUCAGGUGCUUGGAAAUCACCGACACCGGAUCCGGGGUGUGACAAUGGUAUAUCUCACAUUCUCAACCAAUCCUCCUAAGGUGAUACUUGAUUACUACAUUGAACAUUUUAUUAUAAACUCUACAUAUAUUUUCAUACUUUUAAAAUUUCUUUUCGAAAUUUUAUUAAUAUUGAUAUUUUCUAAUAUUUUUAUCAAAAUAUCUAUUUUUCAGAUAGUCAAAAUUUUCUUGAAACGUGAUAUUUUUGUAAUAUAUCGAAAUUUCAAAUUUUUAUUUUUAAAAGAAAAAUUAUUUCCGAGCUAUUUUUAUUUCGAUUUCUAUUAUUUCUUUCAAUUCUUUGUAGCUUUCGAAAAUUAUUUCAAUUUUUAGUUUGUCAAAAUUUAUCUUUUGAGUCCAUAGGAUUAACGGAAGCGUUUUCGGACAUCGGAGCUAUUUUUAAUAAUUUUUAGAAGUUAAUAUCGUCUAAAAAAAAAAUAUUUUUAAACCCGCUUGAUCUGGACCGUUGGAUCAUUUAAACCGCAAGAUCUGGGCUGGGGGAGACUGGAUCAGAUCAGUUCAGACCCAGACUGGGUCAGCCUCGAUCCAAAUAGCAGCGACGGGUGACCGGACUGCCGCUUUGUCCUCCAGCGACGGCGUGGGGAAAUCAUGGCAGCUUCGGCUUCGUCUCGGUCGCCUGAUCCUAUCUGUGGUCUCGAUUUCGUCGAUGGAGCUUCGAUGAGAGAGAAUCGAAGAAGGGUAGCUUUUUCUGGGUUUGUCGACGAGUUUACUAUUUCAGCCACGGCGGCGAGCAUGAUCGGUCUUGGUAGCUUCACCUCGACCUGUUGAACAUUUCUUUGAAGAGAAGGUCGGAGGAGGGAGAAUCGAAGAGAAGAAGUUUUUAGGUUUUAGGCAGUGUUCUUGGUGUUUUCCGGCGACCUCGGACUUCAAUUCAGGUAUCAAAGUUGGUCGACUCGUCAAGCCCUACAUCUCUAUAUAAUUGGUUUUCAUUUUUGAUUAAGUUUUGAAGAAUCGAAGUUUUGGGGUUUUACUGUGCAAUUUGAGUUUUCCUGUUUGUGUGGUGAUUUUGGUUGCCUUGGGGCGUUCUUCGAUUGGAAUUGACUUUAUGAAGUUGAUUUGAUGAUCUUAAGCCCUUGAAUUACAUAAUUGGAAAAGUUGGGUUUUGGGGCAGUGUUGUUCGGCGAUGGAAGUGGUGGUUGAUGGUUCUGGGUUUGGUUUAUGUUUUAGAUGAAAUUACAAGAGCAUUAGAACUUAAUUAUGUUGUUGUGUCGCCUGGAUUCCAUAAACGGAGAAGUUGAGUGUAAGAAAAUUAGAGUUAUGCAAUUUGGAAUUGAGCUAAGAUUGGAGUAGAUGAUAGUAUCGGGUUUUCUGCUGAUUUUGGUUUAUUGUUUGUGGUGGUGACUGCAGUAUUCUUGUUCCAUUUCCAAUCAUAUGAAAGUGCAGGAACAUGAAUUUGGAUGCUUGAUUGGUAAAAGAUGAGUUUUGGGUGGUAGGAAAUGGAGCUGUGUUAUUGGAAUAGGGAGGGGAAGAUGGUUGUGUAUAGUACUAAUACUGAACUUGGCGGAGUUGAAGGAUGCAACUAAGAACUGUUGAUUUGCGAUAUGGAACUAGGAGCUUGAUUUCAAAUGGAGAAAGUGAGUAUUGGCAAGUGCAGGAGUAGGACAACUUGAGAAGUAUAAAUUGGCUAAAGAGCUUAUGGGUGUCCUUAUCAAUUUCAAAGACUGGAUUGCAUCGACUUGAAAUCAUCAGAGUGAAUAAAUGCGGAUUAAGGAACUCAUCUGGGUGUCUUAGUAGAUUUAUGAAUUCGGUCCGGUUGACUUAAAGUGACUUAAAUUUGGCUUAAAGUGAGUUUUGCGGAUUAAGGAUUCAGGGUGUCCUUAGUAAUUUUAAGAACAUGAUCAAUUUUGGAAAUUGAUUUAGUUUAUUUGAGGUUCGACGGCUUUCUCGGUAAGGAAUUGUGACGAGGAUCGAGUGACUAUCGACUUUUUCAGAAGCAGAAGGAUAAAGAUUUCAGAAUGCGUGUCGCUGAGUUAUUAGUUUUAAUUAGCGUCAGAACUAGCGCUCGGAUUUCAGGUAUGGUCUUUCUUGGGGAACCUUUUUUUAAAUUGAUAAUUAGAUUGUUAUUGAAAUUGGUGAAUUGUUUGUCAUUGAGUGAUUAACUCUUGGAUGUUACUGCUUUCUAUAAAAGCAUGUGUAAUCGUUGAGUUAUAUGAUUGUUAUUAUCGCUUUUCUUAAAAAGUAUGUGUUGGAUGAUAUAAUAUGAGUAUUGUUAUUCGUUGCAUACAUAAUGCAUUUUGAAGAAUUAUGAGAUUAGUGAGAUUGGUGAUUAUGGAGAGGUGAGAACGAGAUCAAAAUAUACAUUUUGUACAGUUGAGUUUCCUUAUGGGUUGUCCAUAAAUCUAUGUCAUCCCACUUGCGCAAAUGAGUGGGCAAAGUAUACUCCUUCGAUGGCGGACAUCAAUAAAACGAUCUUUCGGGUUUCGGUUUUGGAGAGUAUGAGUAUAACAAGAUGACUAACAAAAGAGGUACAGGUGAUGAGAUAUUACUGAUUGUUAGAUCAUAUAUUCGAGACAUCUGAGUCACCCAUGGUUGGUAAAAUACACUGUAUGAGACGUGUAACUGAGGAAGACAUUCAUUAGCAUAUAUGCAUCUAAUUAUCGUUAUAUAUUUAAAGUAUUGUUUGAUACUUGAUAACUUGAUUGUGUGACGACAUAGUUAAAUGUAACUAAAGAGGUUUGGCCCUACUAAGCGUGAGCUCAUCCCUAUAUACUCUUAUUCAGGUUCAUACAAGGACACAUAUUUGUAGAAGACUAACUGUGACGUUUAGUUGACGUGAACGAGAGUCGAGAAGGACUACCGAAGUUUCUAGUGAGCUAAACAACAAGACUAGUUUUACCUUUAUAGUGAGCUAGACUGCAAGACUUGUUUUGUCUUUAUAAUCGGUUUUGUUUUUUGUAAUCGUUUUAUUUUCGACUAUUUCGAGAAAAAUAUUUAAAAUUAUUUUAUUUUCUUUUAUUUUUCCCGCUCACGCCUCGGAUUCGGUGUUAAGUGUUUGGAAACCACCGACACCGGGUCAGGGGUGUGACAAUUUUAGUCCUUGGUUUGAUGCCUAAGCUACUUCGCUCCUCCAAACUGGGCCGGUGUUGGAUCAAACAAACAGAAACUUGAAAGAAGGAGUCCGAUACAAGUCAUACAACUACGUUGGUCGGAGCGGAUUUUACGCAUCAAGGUGCCCUUGCACCAUUAAUCUGUAAGUUUUUAAAUCUUCGUAUGCAAAGAUUUAAUGAAGACUAGAGACCUUAAAUUCUUUUCUUUCAUUUUUAUUUUUGACCUGAUCAAAUUAAACGCCAAUAAUUAGAGUACCUCUUAUUCAAUCUCAUGUCCUCAUCUCUUGUGUUGAAAACACUUUUGAUUAUUUUUUUGAGUUUUAAUUUUGUUAAUGGUAUUAAAAUACAUGCAUGAUAAUGCGACAUAGAUGAUCGGAUCAAAACAUUGCGUAUUAAUUGCUCGAUUCACUUGUAGAAGAAUUUUCGAGCUUCGGGCCAAUAUUCCAUUUUUCUUUUUAAUAAAAAAUUCUAGCAGCUAGACAGCUAGUUAACCAAUUGUGAAGCUACACAACUGGGACUUGCAGCGGAAAACAACUACCACGCGUUGCAUGGAGAGGUUAGGUCCUGCAUGCAACUCCGCCGCCCGUAAAUCUCCUACUGACAGCUCUACCCCUCGAUUUGCAGAUACUGAUGUAAAACCCGAGGACAAAACGGUAAUCGUUGAUACUCCGAGCCAGACAUAAAACUAUCCAAGAACAAAGAGGAGACACCACAGGAAAAAUGACCGGACCGCCUCUACCUCGACCCUUUCUAACGUGCUUGGUUGGUGUAGCAGUCUUAACCUGCGCACUAACCUUCUGUGUUGCCCUAGAUGUCACCCCCCAAGACCCAAUCAUCCACCAAGUCACAGACCAUGAUACUAACAAGCUCCUUGGAACCGAGAAAGAGUUCAAGAGUUUCAUGGAGAAGUAUGAGAAGAAGUACCCUACUAGGAAGGAGUACAUGCACCGGCUAGUUGUUUUUUCCAAGAACAUGAUCAGAUCCGCCGAGCACCAAGCUCUGGAUCCGACGGCGGUUCACGGCGUCACGCCGUUCUCGGAUCUGGAGGAGGAGGAGUUCGAGAGGAUGUACACCAUUCCUCGAAAAGUUAAAGUAAUCUUUUUUAGAAAUCGAAUGGAUUCGGUCUUAUACAUACGCAAGGAAGGUAAUAAAAAAAAAGAAAGAUGAGUUCUUUUAUCACUUAGGAGCUGUGCGAGAUAAAAGUCUCAUGCACGGUUUUGAAUGAGAGAAAGAAGUGAGGAAUCCUUUUUUCGACACUGACUCUCCCACUCCAGUUGUUGCUUUUUUUUUCUUUUUUUUCUGUUACUUCAAAAGUCGUUGCUUCAGUUUCAGCCACUCGAAUUUUCGAUGUUCUUUUUUAUUUCUCAUCAAACGAAUGGCAUUUUCUUCCUAUUACUCAAACAAGCAUGAAACGUAUGCUUGCGUAUUCGUCCAUAGGUCAAAUUGGAUAUGUAAUUAUUGGAAUAAUUGUUGGAGACUCAAAUGGUGGAUAUGUAAGCAUGAUAACUUAUAUGUUGUUCUAUAUCUCUAUGAAUCUAGGAACUUUUGUUUGCAUUAUAUCAUUUGGUUAGAGGUGCGCCCGGCUUAACCAACGGCGGAGGCGGUACGGGGAGCACGGUUGAGCUUCUGGAUGUUAGCGGGUUGCCUGAGAGUUUUGAUUGGAGAGAGAAAAAGGAGCUGUUACUGAGGUCAAGAUGCAGGUAGUUUCUAAUUUUCGUUUUAUUUCUGAUUUUUUAGGUUGGACACACAAUAUAUGUGAUUAACAGUUUCGGCCGUACUUAAAUCCUAGCUUUUUGCAAAUCAAGUUAUGGCACAUACGAUAUAGAAGUCUCGUAGCUGGUUGUAAAUUACUAAAUUGUGUAAUCUGAAGUCGAUCAGCUGAUCAGGUGCUGCUGGUUCUUUUGUUUAAUUGAUUGUAUAACUAGCUUGACUUUGAGAGUUUGAAGUUUUGUACAGAAAGAUUUGUCUAAUAGAGCUAGGGUGUUUGUGGAACAUGGAAUUAUUCUUCAGGCAAGGAGUUGUAUUGUGAUACUUAAAGCCUCUAAAUCUCUUGUUAUGGAUGCAGGGUGGCUGUGGGUCGUGCUGGACCUUUAGCACAACGGGAGCUAUUGAAGGAGCCAAUUUCAUUGCCACUGGGAAGCUUGUUAGUCUCAGUGAACAGCAGCUUGUUGACUGUGAUCACCAGGUAAUUAAGCCUAGCCUCUCUGGAAUAUAUUGAAGUACUCAUUUAACUUUAGGGCGAUAAAAAUUUAAUUGAUUGAGCAUAUAUAUAAUAUUUGGCAUGCCUACUUAAUUAGUUUCGUUUAAUGUUUGUGGCAACUAUAAUCAAGUGUGAUGCAAAAGAGAAAGAUGCAUGUGAUCGUGGUUGUGGUGGCGGACUUAUGACAAAUGCCUACAAGUAUCUAAUGGAAGCAGGAGGGUUGCAAGACGAGGUUUCAUACCCUUAUACGGGGAAAAAGGGCGAAUGCAAAUUUAAUCCUGAAAAAGUAGCCGUGAGAGUAACCAAUUUCACCACUAUUCCCCUUGAUGAGAAUCAGAUUGCAGCGAACUUGGUCCACAAUGGUCCUCUUGCCAGUGAGUACUAAACCUGAUAAUAUGCUUAAAAAUAGCUAGGCUUUUUAUGUAUCUAUGUGUGCGUACAUAGAACUGCCUUAAGUGUCUUAUUUUCUGAAUAUGAUGUGCACUGUUUAGCAUAUUUAGAUCUGAGUGUAGAUACACCCCACUGAUACAGAAUCUUAAUUGAUGUAUGUAUGCGCAGUUGGCUUGAAUGCUAUGUUCAUGCAAACCUACAUUGGCGGUGUGUCAUGCCCUCUUGUUUGUUUCAAGAAAUGGGUGAACCACGGUGGUUCACUUGUUGGAUAUGGUGAGAGUGGCUUCUCGAUUCUCAGGCUCAGCAACAAGCCGUAUUGGAUCAUCAAGAAUUCAUGGAGCGCAAAAUGGGGAGAACAUGGUUAUUACCGACUUUGCCGAGGCCAUGGCAUGUGUGGGAUGAAUACCAUGGUGUCUGCAGUUGUGACCAGUACGCGGGCAUCCUAGCUGCAUCUCCCGAGAUUAGCUAGUAUAUAAUUAUACACUAUAAUAUUAUAUGCACCUCUCCCUUGUUUUUUCUUAAUCCGAAUUUGAUGUUCCUAUAAUCAUAUUUCAACAAUAUUAUUGUUAAUAUGCCGAAGUGGAAAGUCUUGUUUACGUCAAAACCAAUUCGAACUAUAUUUUGUUAGCUUUAAAUGCUAGAUUGUCAGACUUCAAAUUUAAGUCGGAAAAAUUUUACAAUAUGUUAAUGCAUGUUAUGCAUCAAUUUUAUCCUAAAAUUGUAAAAUGAGUCUCUAAAGUAGUAAUAUUAGUCCUUGAAGUUGUAAUAUAUACGAGUAGUUGUAAAUUUUAAAGUUACAACAUUAGUUAUCAUGUGUCCUUAAAGUAAAUUUUACAGUUACAACAUUAGUCAUUGUGUCUUUAAAGUGAUAAAAUGCGUGCUUAAAGUGGUAAUUGAAUCCUCAAAGUGAUUGAAAAAGUUUUUAUAUCUUUGAGGAUUUGUAUUACAACUUUGAGGAUUUGUAUUACAACUUUGAGGACUCAGUUACCUCUUUAAGGACACAUAAGGAUUAAUAUUGUAACUAAUUUUUUUACAACUUUAAAGACUUAUAUUACAACUUUAAGGACUAGCUAAUAUUACUACCGUAAGACUCGAUCAUUUUAUAACUUAAGAGCAAAGUUGAUACAUCACAUGCAUUUUUUUUUUAUUGGUUAAUGAUCGAGGAUAGGCGAAUAAUCACCUAUCACUCUAUGUUAUUAAUAAAAGAAAAAAGAAACAAAGGAGGGGGAUCAAAACCAAAACAUCCUAAAACAAAUGACAGACUAGCUGAAACGAAAUUGAGGCAUACCUCUAACAUCGUUAUUAUAAGACAAUAAUAUGAAAGGUGGAGGCUCAUCCCACCAUAUCAAUUCAGAGCAUGACGUACCUUGAUUUGCCAGAGCAUCAGCUAUCUUAUUCCCUUCACGAAAAAUAUGAGUAGCCUUGAAAUUCAUUUUAGAGAUUCGGUAUAAGCAAUUCAACCAACGAACUCGAAGAGGCCAAGGAACAAGAGAAGGUCUGCGAAUAUAAUCAAGUACCAAAGAUGAGUCAACUUCCAACCAAAUAUGCUUCCAAUCACGAACCCAAGCAAGCUCAAUAGCUUUAAUAACAGCCAUUAUCUCCGUUGAAAUUGAACUAGGAAUUUCAAGAUUAGAGGCAAAAAGCACCUAGAAAGUGGCCCUUGUAAUCUCUAAAAAUAGCACCAUAACCACCCACUCCCUCUUCAUGCUUCCAAGAGCCAUCAGAAUUUAUCUUCACCCACCCAAGAGAAGGAGGAAUCCAAUUAACUUCAACCACUCUAGGAGUGGCACGAGGUCGACAUGGGGCUCCAAAACAUUUCAAAAUUCGUAGCUCCUGGACACUGUUAUGCAUAUGACCCGUUGUAAGAUGACUAGUGGCUCUUAUAUGACUUGAUAUUAGCUUGCAAACAACUUCAACUGAAAAGCGACAACCAUCAAAUCUGGUUUUAUUUCUCACAUGCCAAACAAACCACAAAAUGGAGGUAAAGCAAAUAAGCCAUAAUUCCAUUAAUUGAGGACUUCUUCCAUUCUGCAAACCCAACCCAUAAAGCUCCAAAAUAGAAGAAGGAAUCAUACCUAACUCAAAAAUAGAGCCAAAGUGACAGAAGAGACGCCAACGGCACCAACACCCAAAGCCAAAGGUAAAGUGUUCGUCAAAGGACUCCACAAUUCCAAGAAUGCUUUCCAUGUGCUCGUGCAAUAAUGGUAAGGAUAUCGAGAGACGCCAACGGCACCAAAUAUUCCAGCUUGAUUCAAUACGCCUUCAAAAUUGGCUAAUAUGAAUUCUGUCCACUCCAUUACGCCUAUCUCAAGUGUAGCACAACCCCGGAAACAAAGGCUCGAAGACCAAUCUUGUUUGGUGUUUAGCAUCCUGUGAAGUAUCGGGUAAAAAUUCUCUUCGAAAGUGAAAAGACCUCCAUCAUGUCUGUUAUCAACCUUCUCCAAAGUAUGCCCCUUAAAUACAUGGGAAAAGUUGUGGGUUGUUCUUAUCACUUGAUCCUCCAAAUCUUGGCGAAAUGUAAGAAAGCCUGAGUUCAUUUCAACUUCUGUCACCAAGGUAAUGAUGUCUUUAGGAGGGACAUCAACAUGAAUGGAGCUUAAAGGCUGUGAUCUCACGUACUCUAUGCCCUUUCCAACAACCUGCCUGUGUUUGUCCAAAGCUGCCUCGCGGGAAAUUCGACCAUAUGCAUCCAUUACCUGAGAUUAUAGCACGCAGAGAUGUUAAAAGCAAGCAAUAGCAAGUCAAGCUUUGCGCGAGAAAAGCAAGUUCCACGUACAAAGCUUGAGGGGGCACUGUUGAUACCAAAAAAAAAGGAUUACAGAAAAGGAAAAAAAUAAAUAAAAUAAAUAAAUGGAAGAGUAUUUAUUCAUGUCAUACUCUUCCGUUGGUUUUGAUUACACGCACAAAGCUUUUGAGUUCAAUUACAACUCUUGCAAGCAGGUGCUUGGAUAAGAACAAAUCAGUACGAGCACCAGAGUUUGAUUGUAACUCAAUUAUCCUAACCAAGCACUCUAUAUAAAGAGGCCAAUACCUUCAAAAAAAAAAAAAAAANAANNNNNNNNNNNNNNNNNNNNAACACCAACGGGAGGAGGCAGGCGGGCAACAAGGAGGAUCACAAAGGAGCGGUUCAUUCUUUACAAGGUUCGGAUGGAGAGUUCUCUUUCUCUUUGCGCAGCUCUCUUUAUGUUCUGUUGAUGGAGGCAUCACUGCCUUCAUAUUCCUCGCAGAUGGCCUCUGGUGUUCUUGGUUACUAUUGUUCCUGGUCACCCAAAUCCCUUGCGGAUCGAUCUGGUUAUUAUAGUUACUGUGUUCUGUUGGUUACUUGGUUACUACUGUGUUCUCUUGGUUACUUGGUUACUCAAAUCCCUUGUGGAUCGUUCCUGGUUACUCGUUACUUGGUUACACAAAUCCCUUGCGGAUCGUUCCUGGUUACUUGUUACCCUAAACAUUGGUUACUGGAUACUAUGGUUACUGGAGACUAAUGGCUACUAUGGCAAUGGUUCUAUGUUACAAUGGUUAUAUGACACUAUGGUUACUAUGAUUCUGGUUCUAUGGCUACUGUAGCACUAUGGUUACAAUAUGGUUCUGGUUCUUUGGGUACUUUGACACUGGUUACUAUAACAGAUCGGUUGCCCUUUGAUCCUACAAAACCAAACACAAAACCAAUACUCAAAAUUCCACCACAAAAGGCCAUUGUUGUCCCUGUUCCCUGUUAACCACCACAGCCAAAUACCUUUCCAAAUUCCAUGUUUCAAGCACCAACUCAAAUACUGUGCAAUGAAACUAAAAGAGACAAUAACAGAGGCUUACCCUCAAACUAUGACAAUCGAUCUAUUCCGAUACUACAACUACUACCUGUGUUUCAUACCUUCAUGCUGUAGCAGGAAUGGUGAUGAUAUUGCAAAAAGAGAACAGCAAGUUCCUGUCAAGUUAACCUCACAAAAACAUCCGAGCAAAGAGAGUCAUUGAUUCUUUGGCUCUGUCCCUUUAAAAAAAACAAAGGGGGCUCGGUGAGUUUUCUCAUGAUUCUUCUCCAAUAUCACAAGAUGACAAGAAUCAAGCUUGGCGGUGACCCUCCCAAACAGAGAAGGCUUACUCAAACAUAAAUAUGCAUUCACCACCAUGGAGUAAAACAAAAGAAGCAAACUUAAUUAAACAAGUUUUGUUUCUGGAAGUUCCAAGGCAGCGAGCCGAAUACACCCACAGUCAAAUAAAUUGGAGCUAAGAAGUUUAGAGUCUCAAAGCAAAAGACGUGUUCUUCCUCAAAUUAAAGCCUGCAAAUUGAAGCCUGCAGCAAAAUUAACCUACUCGAAGCUAAGCUCAUCCAUUCGACGCUAAGCUAAUCUACUCGAAGUUAAGGAAGCGAAGGAUAAUUAAUUUUGCCAUUGAAGAAUUGUAACAAAGCACCUAUCCAACACAAGGCAGUAACCAAAUUGAACGCUACCUGUGAAGAAACAAGCUUUUGACCAGUGGGAAAUCCUUCGAAAUUACUCUGAAGCAUAAUGGAGAUACUUUCGUCAUGAGGGUAUUUGAAUUGUAGGGAUGAAAGCAGGAACACAAUAGGGGUUAUCCUUACCCAAUUUCGCACAGUGAGAAAGAGCACAGCAAAUCUCAAGCCUCCCAGUGUUGAUAAAUUUCUUCUCGGCGACUUAGGAGCACUGCCAUCACCAAGUCGGUUGCUGCGCCAACCCCUCUCCAUUUGAUCAGUUUCGGCCUUCAAGUUCUUCUGGGUUACAAUAAACAAGGCAGCAGAAGAUCAAAAGAAAGAAAAGAAAUGAAGAAUGGGGAGAGGGAAAGCUAACGGGCCUCCACAUUGACGGAUGCUACUCACAAGCAAGGCCCAUGUCAAAUUUGGGCCCAUCUGAAAAGUUCAACGAGGCUCAAUAUAUGGGUGUUCAAAUCAAAAUACCCAAACUUCGGUUUCGUUUAAAAAUUCUUCGGAACCCGAAUGAAGUUGCGUUUGGUACAAAACCAAGAAAUACUCAAAUACCCAAAUUUUUGAACUACAAUGGUUUGAUCCCUUCACAGGGUAUGUAGGCAGUCCAGAUUUAAAUCUGGAUAUAACCACAUUUAAAGCCAAAUCGUUGGUUCUUUCCAAGCCAAAUUCUAAAACACAUAACCAAACCUUUCGACAAGUCAUCUACUUCGUCGAAACCCCAAAAGCCAUAAAACUUGAACUACGAGUGACUUGAUCCCUUAUGGGGUACGUAGGCAGCCUGUAAAACAAAUCGGGUGCAGUCGCAAUUCCCCUCGAACACACAUUCCCCAUUUGUUACUUUGUAAUUAGAAUCAAAGGGUCUUCCCCCGAAAGCAAGGGUUGUAAUUAAGAAAUUUAUUUUAUUUCGAAUGGGUCGAACCAGACAUAAUUAAAACUCUAUUUUAAUCAAUGAGAUAGAGUGAAAUUGUGUUGGGUAUAUUUAUUUACAAUUUUUGCUCAACAUAGUUUUUGGCGACUUCACUGGGGACUCUCAACUGGUCAUCAGACAAAUAAAUGACGAGUAUGCAGUCAAAAAUGAGAACCUUAUAUCAUACUACCAAAGAGUUAAAUAUCUCCUGGGACAAUUUCGAGAGAUAUAUGUUGGCCACAUUCCAAGAUCAGAGAAUGAUAAAGCAGACGCAUUGGCUAACUUGGCAGCUUCUUUAGUACUUCCUGAAGAGAAAGACAUCCAAAUAACAGUUGGAGAACGUCGAUUGCAGUCCUACGUCACUUGAACGAAUGGAAGCUACCAAUGAAACAAAUGUAGUUUCUGUGUUCGAAACUGAGGAAGAAUCUGAUUGGCUCAAAUUGAUGCAGUGAACGAGCAAGAGAGGAAAGUAUGAUUCAAAGUCUCCGAGCAAACACCACAAAGCUCACAUCUAGAAACCCAAGGAAUACCUCGACGCUGAAGUAAAACAUCAGAAAUAACUCUACCUCUUAACACCUUCCAUGCUAGGAAAGACAUUCUUGGCAGAAUAUAUUUAGCCCAUAAUCUCUUACCCCAAAUUACUGGAUUAGAAGAAUGCCGCAUAAAAGUAUAGGCUUGUUUUGCGGUUAACUCAUCGGAGGCUGAAGAGGUCCAUAUAAGUUUGUCAUUAACUGAAGGAUCUUCUGACACAGGGACUUGAUUGAUCAUACCACAUAAGGCUGGGUAGUGCAACUGUAGUAAUGGAGGAAGAUUCCAUGAACCAUUGUCUAUAUAUUUUGACACCAAAUCCGAGUUAUCCUGCAUCAACACAUUAGAACCAAAGAACUCAUUUAUUGGCCUACCCAUAAACUUGUCGCGCCAAAAGUAAAUUCCAUUCCCAGAACCAAUGAACCAUUGAGAAUUAUCUUGAACAGUCUUCCAGAAUUGACGAACACCAGGCCAUAUAGAAGAAGGAGCAUAAGAUUUCCGUCUAGAGAAACGAUUGCGAAUAAAAGCACAACCCUCAGAUUGAGCUGUAUAGAUUUCCCAGCAACGUUUCAAUAAGAGAGAUCGAUUAAGCAGAACUAGUUGUUUGAGCCCCAAGCCACCUUCUGCAAUUGGGGAACAACAAGACUUCCAAGCCACAAGAGGGAUCCCUCUUUUAUCAAUUGAGCCAGACCACAGAAAGUUUCGGCACCAUACCUCAAUUUUUCGCACCACAGACACAGGCCAUUCAUAUACUUGAAAAAUGUAUACCAACAUGCUAAAAAUAACAGACUUGAUAAGCUGCAAACGUCCUGCCAUUGACAAAAAAGAACUCACCCAACUCGAUAACUUUAUCCUUAUUUUGUCAACAAUCUGAUGGAAAUAAGAAGCACGAGGUUUGCCAUGAAAAAUAAGGGCACCCAGAUACAUGAAUGGAGCAGACCCCAAGGGAAUACCCAAGAAGUUCGAAAUAGAAUGCCGCCUUGAAUGUAUACUAUUUCCAAUAAAAACCUGAGACUUCCCUUUGUUGAUAACUUGACCUGAAACUCUACCAUACUCAUCGAAGAACCGCAUAAUCCGCGAUAAAUUCCGCCUAUUGCCCCGAAAAAAAACAAUAACAUCAUCUGCAAAUAGGACAUGAGAUGGAGCAAGAGUAUUUCGUGGAGAAGAGAUACGCUGCAGUUGUCCCGAUGAAACAAGUAAAGAGAUCCCACGACUAAGGACUUCUUCUGCUAAGCAAAAGAGCAAGGGAGAAAGAGGGUCACCUUGACGCACACCCCUUUCACAAGAAAAAUACCCCACAGUCCUCCCAUUAAUCAACAGAGAAAGCUUGGCUGACAGAAGCAAGGCACGCACCCAUUGUACAAAGAUCGGAUCAAACCCAAAAGCCUGAAGAACAUGAAGAAGAAAAUCCCAUGACAGAGUAUCAAACGCCUUUGUAAUAUCAACCUUAAUUGCAAGGUUACCCCCCAUGACAUUUUGAGUUCAACAAAUUAAAGCACUCUGAAGUAGUUAAUAUACAGUCUGAUAUGUUCCUCCCUGCAACAAAAGCAUGCUGUUGAGGAGAAAUAAUACGAGAUGCCACUGAUGCCAACCGGAUAGCUAUGAUCUUUGGGAUAAUUUUAAACACAAAGUUGGUGAGGGCAAUAGGCGAAACUGCUUUAUGGAGUCGGCAUGAUCAACUUUGGGGAUUAAGAUGAUAAUACCUGAGUUAAAGGAAGGAGCCAAAUAACCAUGUUGAAAAAAUACUGAACAGCCUUAACAACAUCAGCACCAACAACAUCCCAGCAAGAGACGAAAAAAUGGCCAUUAAAUCCAUCUGGCCCCGGGGCACUAUCAGGAUCCAUUGAUUUGACAGCUGCCCAAAUUUCCUCUGAUAAUGGAACACUAGUAAGCAUCGUAUUUUCCUCAGGAGUUACCAUAGAGUGAAUCACUUUGGACACCAAGCCACUAUCUUCAUACUCUGCAUGUUUAGUAAAAAGAUUUUUGUAAUAAUCAACUAUAUGAUUUUGGAUAUAAUGAGGAUCCUGAAGCACCUGAUCUCCAUCACGAAGCAGAGUAAUAGAAGAACGAUUUCGGCGCACUUUACACAAAGCAUGAAAAUAAGAAGAAUUACGAUCACCUUCUGAUAACCAUCGCAACCUUGACUUCUCACGCCAAAGAAUUUCCUGAUGCAGAAUAGACUCAUUCAAAAUGGCCUGCAAUUCAGUCUCUUUUUCAAACUCUUCAUCUGAUCCCCCAGAAGCUGCAAUUUUAUUUUGAAUAUCAGCAAGGGCUGCAAGGUCAAACUCAACCCGACGGUGAACAUCCCCAAAGACCUCCCAGUUCCAAGUACGGAGAGAUUUCCUUAAGGUACGCAGCUUAUAUUGCAGGACAGAAUAAGGACAACCAAACGAAGUAGUAGAGGACCAACAUCCUUUGACAAAACUCAUAAAAUCCUUAUGCUCCAACCACAUUUUUCUAAACCGAAAGAGACUAAAACGAGACCCUGUAAACUUAGAAAAGGACAUUAGUAGUGGAUUAUGAUCAGAGCAAGUUCUGGGUAAGGUGCAACAGUCAAACUGAUCCCAUUCCUCCAUCCAAUUCAAAUUAGCAAGACUUCUAUCUAAUCUUAGCUCCACAUUACCACGAAAACCACGCCGUCUCACCCAUGUAAACUCUGCCUCUUUAGUAUCUACAUGAAUAAGUUCACAAACAUCUGACAUUGUCUGAAAUUCCUCACAUGAUCGCCGACAUAGAGGAGCACCUCCUUUCUUUUCAUGAGCACCAAGAACUGCGUUAAAAUCUCCAAAAACCAACCAUGGUCCUGUAACAAAACGACCUUUGAAAUCAGUAAUAUCUUCCCAUAACUUCCGGUGGCCAGAGAUUGUGGUACGAGCGUAGACAGCUGUAAGAAAACAGUUUACCGAAUCAAACAUAACUUGUAAAGAAACCUGCUGAUCCGAGGUAGACAACACCCGAAUCCAUGGAGCCAGAGAAGUCUUACAAAAAACCCAUAGAUUAGGUAAUGCAGAACCCCGGUCAUUUGCACCAACAAAUCGCAUGCCUAACGAACGCCAAAAGAAUAGAGGAAUUGAAGUCAAGGCAACGAAAGGCUCAGCUAUACAUAAAACUUCCAGGUUGUGAACCCGUACAAACUGUUUCAAAGCAUCUUGAGUGGGGACAUUAGCAAUGCCCCGUAUGUUCCAAUAAAGAACCCUCAUUUAGGAGUGUCUUUGGAGCGACGGAGAUAGGCUUCCCUAUUCUCCUUCGAAGCAGCCUUCCUCUUUUGAGACCUGGACAUAACAACAGUAAAACCAUCAUCAAUGUCAACUCGUUCUGUCUCCUCAUACCAGCUAUCAAUUCGAGUUACUGAAUUUGCAGCAACAGCAACCCCAAUGUCAGAAGACUGCUCAUGCAUACUACCACCGGCAGAGUCAUCUUCACUAUUCUGCUCGUUCUGAUCAAUUGCAUACCUAGUAUCAUCUUCUUGCUCAACCACAUUACCAUGGAUAGCUACUGGUACCAAAACCACAUUCACCCCCGGCUCAACCACUUCUUGGACAGGUGCCACCACUUCCACUAGCGGUUCCGGCACAACACUAGAUAUCACUAGUUGGCCGACCGGUGCUGGAGACUUCUGCACAAAGGAAGGACCCUCACCAAAAUCUUCCCUGGGGUUUGGAGUUGAAUCAAUAAUCAUGCUCUUACCUCGAUCUGCUGGAUUAGAUGGGUUUUUAGGCACAUACACUUUGGAGACUCGUUGCUGAUCACGGUUCCUGCGAGAUCGUCUACUACGCUUGCGCGAUCGACCUCUGCCUUUCUCAGUCUCAUUAUCCAUUGGAACCGGGUCAGAAGAUCUAUGCACAUACUUGCAAGCUGUGACAAGGUGCCCAACGUUGCCACAAUGAGCACAAAUAUGUGGAAGCUUCUCAUAAUCCACAGUCUGAACAAAAGACGAACCGCACUUACGCUUGACAACCAAUUCAUGCGGUGGAUCAACAGAGAGAUCAAUAUCAACCAAUAUUCUAGCAAAUAGGGUUCUAGGUUCCCAAAACUCAAGCCCUAGAUCCUAAAACCUCACCCACACCUGAGCAUUAGUAUUACGUUGAUUCGCUGGGGAGAAAUUUGGAACCCAUCGCAUGAAACGCAAGAAGCCAGGCUUGAGAGCAAUUGCACCCUUUACCCAGACUGUAGAGAGAUCCUCAUCCGUAGAGAAGCUAAACGUGAAAUAACCUUUUCCCAUGGGAAUAAUCUUCCAAGCCCCUAGACUUCCCCAAAGAAGAGAAAGCUUAUGAGACAGAUCUGAUGCAGAGUAGGGUUUAUCCCUCAAACCCAAUUGCACCCUUCCGAUUAACAUAUGUUUACAAUUAUCCAAACCCGAUUGAUAGCCCUCUUCUGAAAUAGUAACAGUUGUCUUGCCAUCUAAAAUCUCAGGAAUAGGUAGAUCAUCAAUUGGGAUGAAAGCUUGCGCCGCCGCCGCCGCAUAAGAUUUCGUCGGCUUCGCAGCCCCCUCGUCGAGAAAAGACCACGGGCAGAAGGGACGAUGCUGAACAGCCAUGACGUCGUGAAGCAAACGGAACUCGAAUUCAAGGAUUUACUGCAGGGAGGCUCCAGCACGGGGAAACCCUAGCAGAGCCAUCACCAACAUAAUGUAACUCGAUGCAUCACAUCCAUUAACACACUAUAGUCUUACCUUUUAAGUUGAGUCAAUGCAAGAGUUGCACUAUUUAGACCAUUUGGUUCUUCCGAAAAUAUGUAUUAUAUUUUUGAGAAUUUCAACGUCUGUAGUAGAGUCGACGAGGAUUUUAGAUUUGAUUUCGUCGAUGGCGUUGUCGAGCUAUUGCGUCAAUAGGAUGAUGAAGAGCAACCGGAAUCACCUCUCUUCUGACGCAAUUUGUUUUUCAAAGAUCUGGUCCGUUGCACUGGCCGGUCGAAGCCUUUUCAGUUCUCAAAACAGUUCAGAAACUACAGGUCUGAUAAUGAAAUGCAUAAAACAUUUAUAACUAUUGGUAAUUUAUAUCCUAGAGUUGUUCGAGUGUACUAACCACAGGAAAUAACGAUCUAGCUAGACUACCUUAUUUUCGUUAGGGCUGCUCUAAUUAGUCAACAUAUGCAGCUAGGUGAUGAUAAACUUACCCAAUUCGUUGUGAAAAUAAUUGAACCAUCAGUAGCCGUGAUAGUCCUUACGUACCUGCCCUUUCAUGAGCCUUAAUAUUUGGUGGCUUAUUAGCUACGCACUAAUGGUAGUUAAUUGUGCUUAUUUUGUGCAUGUGUGUUCUAAUACAAUUACCUACCUAGUUCUAAUUGUUCUAAUUCGUCGUGGAAUGUUUUCAGAGGAGAAAACUGAAUGGGGUAGCAUAGAGCCCUAUUACAAAAUAAUGUAUCUAUAACCUUCUCUAAUUUACAUAGUAAUUGACGCAAUUUGGCCGAACUGUUUCUGAACACACUGCUUCAGUUCUUUAUAAACCACGUACCAUAUGUAUGUAUUCAAGUGUCAGAUAUACUGAACCUACAUCGCCAAAAUGGAGAGAAUUCAGGUCAGUAUAAUUUCCAAACACACCGUCAAACCAUCAGCUUCCUCUUCACUACUUCGGGAUUGUCUAUGGUACAGCGCUGUAUGCCAUACAUCCUCUAACAGGACUUGUGUGCACGUGCCUUGCAGUGGGGGUGGGUGUUUUGUUUUGAAAUUUUUAGCCUUGAAAGCAGGCUGCAUAUCAUGCAGGGCUGCAGAUAGAAUUUUCCCUGAAUAUCACGCAUAUCAGCGCUGCAUGAUAUGUAUGAUUGUCUAUGGUACAACGCUGCAUAUCAUGCAGCGCUGCAUUAAAGCAGACUGCAUAUCAUGCAACGCUGCAGGAUAUGCAGCCUGCUUUCAAGGCUAAAAAUUUCAAAAUAAAACACCCCCACCUGCAAGGCACGUGCGACACAAGUCCUGUUAGAGGAUGUAUGGCAUACAACGCUGUACCAUAGACAAUCCCACUACCCUACUUCAGCCUUACAAGCUUACCCUGCUCGACCAGCUCACUCCUCCAUCGUAUGUCCCCAUGGUAUUCUUCUACCCCAUUACUGGCCCUGCAGUCUUCAAUCUUCAAACCCUAGCUGACUUAAGACAUGCCCUUUCCGAGACUCUCACUUUGUACUAUCCACUCUCUGGAAGGGUCAAAAACAACCUAUACAUCGAUGAUUUUGAAGCCGGUAUCCCAUACCUUGAGGCCCGAGUGAAAUGUGACAUGACUCAUUUUCUAAGGCUUCCAAAAAUCGAGUGCCUAAAUGAGUUUGUUCCAAUAAAACCAUAUAGUAUGGAAGCAAUAUCUGAUGAGCUUUACCCCUUGCUUGGAGUUCAAGUCAACAUUUUCGAUUCUGGGAUAGCAAUAGGUGUCUCCGUCUGUCACAAGCUCAUCGAUGGCCGAACGUCAUACUGUUUUCUCAAGUCCUGGGGUGCUGUUUUUCGUGGGUGUCGUGAUGAAAUCAUACAUCCUAAUCUCUCUCAAGCAGCAUUGCUUUUCCCACCGAGAGAUGACCUGCCUGAAAAGUAUAUAGCUUUGAUGGAAGGGUGGUCGAUUGCCGUAAAGAAAGUUGCUACAAGGAGAUUUGUAUUUGGUGCGAAAGCCAUAUCUGCAAUUCAAGAUGAAGCGAAGAGCGAGUCCGUGCCCAAGCCAUCACGAGUUCAGGCCGUCUCUGGUUUUCUCUUGAAACAUCUUCUCUCUGCUUCUCGGGCAUCAUCAUCAGGUAAAUCAGUUUAUGUGUCUUCUUAAAAGUGCACCACAUGCAAUUGCGUGAUUGGCAAAGGAGGGCUAGGCGUGAUUAAUUAAGCUAGAGAAGACAAGGUUUUUCCAUUAAUUGUUAGUGAGGCUUGCUCAAAUGCGAGCGUACAAGAGUUUUCAGUAGCUUUAUUUCUGCUGCUUAGGUUAUACCGGAUUUGUUUUGUAAGUUAGAAAAAUACAACUUAUUGGAUAUUGUUAUAAGCAUCUAAUUAAUGAUAUGAAUGAAAAAGAAAAAAGAUCGUACACUUAACAUUUUUCUGCUAUUAUUUCAUACUUAUUUUAUAUUUUUGUAUUACAUAUACUGUACAUAGCUUAAAAAUGAGAAAAUAUAUGAACUUUUGCAGGUACUACUUCAACAAAACUUUCUAUAGCAGCUCAGGUAGUGAACUUAAGAUCACAGAUGAACAUGGAGACAACGUUGGGUAAUGCCAUUGGAAACCUGAUGUGGUGGGCUCCGGCCAUACUAGAGUUAAAUCAUAAAGCACGAGAGAGCAGCGAUCCUAAGCUGUGUGACUUGGUUAUCUUGCUCAAUGAAUCUGUCAAACAAUCUAACAGUGAUUACUUCGACACUUUCAAGGGUAAAGAGGGAUAUGGAAGAAUGUGUGAGCAUCUAGAUAUGGAGGGGACUGUAAGUUCUGUAGAACCAGCACCAGAGAUAUAUUCAUUCUCGAGCUGGACUAGAUUUUUCGACCAAAUUGAUUUUGGAUGCAUGGGGGAGGUCAUCUUGGAUUGGAGUUACCGGAAAACAAUCUGCAUAUUGGAAUUCCACAGUUUUAGUACCAACACAAUGUGAUACUGGAAUUGAAGCGUGGGUGAAUCUAGAUGAAGAGAAAAUGGCUAUGCUAGAACAAGAUCCCCAGUUUCUAGCAUUAGCAUCUCCAAAGACCCUAAUUUCAAGGUAUUGAUUAUGAAAGAUUAUGUGGCUCGUGCAAUGUUUCCAUUUGCAGUGAAUAAGGAUUAAAUUAGUUCCCCGGCCAAUUAAUAAGAAGCAAGGUAUGAUAGACUAUGGCUACGUAUGUUAGUAUGUUAUCCGAAUGUGCUUCGUUAUGCUUUUAACCAAUAUAGCUCUGUUUUGUAACAAUGCUCUAUUGAGCUUCUAACUAUAGAGUUAUUUUUCUUGAUUAGAAAAAGAAACUAUGCAAGUUUUGUUUUGUUAAGCUAUUCUGUUUCUAAAAGAAAGGCUAUUCUGUUUCUAAAACGGGAUGCAUGUAUUACCUAAAAAGAUGAUUCACCUAUAAUUAUUUUUCAAGUAAAUGAUUAUUUGAUAGCAAUCACGCCGUGUAUUUCUAUAGCUAAAAUUGUAAUUUAGAUCAGUGACAACAUGAUUAAAAGUUACAUAUUCUGAUACAUUUGUUAUUUAACGACAAGUGUGGCCAUAAUGCCUCACCUAGUCACCUAAUGCGAAGACCUCUACGAGAGACUAAUGUCGUCUGAUCUUCUUUUCUUAAUCAAAAGAAACGAAAAUGGCCACAAUGCCUCACUAUUCAUAGAACCAUACAAUAAUUUGGAACAUAUGCAUGGAUGCAAAGAAAAAUAACACAAGAACCAUCAUAAUUUCACAUUAUAUGAGAAACUUAGCCAAAUCCGAAUCACAUCCAUGUUGGCCAAGAGUGACUAAAGAAGACCACCCAGAAAGCUAGAAAACCAUAAAAUCCAGAAAACUUGAAUAAGCUAGGGAAAAAACAAAAAUGUGACAUUCCAUUUCUUCUUGCGGUUUUGUUAGGCCAAAUCAAAAUCUCAAUGACCCUGCAAUCAUUUACACACACUCUUUCUCAAUCUCUGCAAAACUGACUGCUUCCCCUGAAAACUUGCGCAAUAGGGUACCUAGCUCUCUGGCCUUUUCUUUCUAAUGCACAAUUUAUGGCUUUUGGUAAUGAUGAUUUUAUGCUUGUGGAUCUCAGAUGGGUUUGUUUUGUUUUGGGAUUUUUAUAAAUGAAUGCAUUGAAAAUGUUGAAAGCUUAUGCCUUUGUUCCUUGGUUCAGUGUUCUGGUUUUGUGUACGUACGAGAGUUGAAAUGUGAUCUCUAGUAUCGGUAAAGAGAAAUGUUCUAACCAUGCUAGUGUUAGUAAUUUAUCUUCUAAAGUUGUUUGAGUACUUUACUCUCUUACUUUACUAACUAAGCAUAGGAAAUAACGACCUAAACUACCUGAUUUUCGUUAGUGCUUGUAAACACGAAAAUUCCUGUAACGAAUAACAGAAAGACAUGUGUACAAAAUAAUAUAUUUGUAUUGAUUGAAUUUGCGGGUUACAAUCUCUAUGGGUAUUCUUUUAACAAGAAUGUCCUCUGAUUCGAUCUCCGAUGUUGAUUUGAUCCAAGGGUGACAAGCACUUGAUCUUGAAUUGAACUGUUGUAGUUUGAACUUCUUAUUGUGUUGACGAUUUGUAGAAGGAAGUUGACCAAGGGCCAUAGAGGCUUGAUCUUGGUCGAAUAUGGGCCGCGAGAGGUGUCACGUGGUGAACGUUCUUCGACUUGAUAGCGGAUGAAUCGGCACGUGUGUUUGGUACUUGUUGAUUCUCCACGAGGUUGUUGAAGAACUUGGUAGAAGUUUUGAUUUGUUGAAAGACUUGAAGACGAGGGUUGAUCAAGGGCCGUAGAGGCUUGACGUUGAUCGAGUUUGGGCCGAGCAGUUCCACAUGGUGGUUGCUCUUCGUCUUGUAGUUGGUGAAGAUGUCAGCUAUUUGGCAACUUGGGACUCUUCGGGAUUUGACAACCUAUAGGCUUGAGGUUGAUGAAGAAUCAACUAUUUGGCAGCUUGAUGAUUCUUCAAGGGUUUUGGGAGAAUUCUAAACUCUCGGGAGUAAUUUUUCUCUCUUGUCUGAAAGUCGUCCUCUUGAUAUGAGAGGGGGUAUUUAUAGUGUUAAUGCUCCUCCGUAAAUGGAAUGCAUUGAAGUCACAGCUUUAAUUAUAUUUCCUUAAUGAUAUAAUUAAAUCAAUCACUUUUGAUUGAUUGAUUCAAUUAUUCAAUUUCCCAUAAUUAAAUCAAUCAGUCUUAAUUGAUCGAUUUAGUUAUGAUCGAUAAGGUAUUUCACUAAUUUGAUUAAAUUCCGACUUCCUUUUCGAUAAUUGAUUUGAUUUGAUUGAUGUUUGAUUAUCGAUUGACAUUUAAUAUUUUAUUUUAGUUGGGAUUGAUGAUUUUGUUGUCGACCGACCAUUCACACGCCGCCACGUGUUAUUUUCGAAGACUUUUCAACUUUGCUGACUCACGAGCCACGUAUGCACGAGACUUUUCAACGUCUCUAAUUUACAUAGUAAUUGACGCAAUUUGGCCGAACUGUUUCUAAACACACUAAGCUUCAGUUCUAUAUAUACCGCGUACCACAUGUUUCAUCAAGUGUCAGAUAAUACAGAACCUACUUCGCCAAAAUGGAGAAAAUUGAGGUCAGUAUAAUUUCCAAACACACCAUCAAACCAUCAACUUCCUCUUCACCACUUCAGCCUUACAAGCUUACCCUGCUCGACCAGCUCACUCCUCCAUCGUAUGUCCCCAUGGUAUUCUUCUACCCCAUUACUGGCCCUGCAGUCUUCAAUCUUCAAACCCUAGCUGACUUAAGACAUGCCCUUUCCGAGACUCUCACUUUGUACUAUCCACUCUCUGGAAGGGUCAAAAACAACCUAUACAUCGAUGAUUUUGAAGAGGGUGUCCCAUACCUUGAGGCUCGAGUGAACUGUGACAUGAAUGAUUUUCUAAGGCUUCCGAAAAUCGAGUGCCUAAAUGAGUUUGUUCCAAUAAAACCAUUUAGUAUGGAAGCAAUAUCUGAUGAGCGUUACCCUUUGCUCGGAGUUCAAGUUAACAUUUUCAACUCCGGAAUAGCAAUCGGGGUCUCCGUCUCUCACAAGCUCAUCGAUGGAAGAACUUCAGACUGUUUUCUCAAGUCGUGGUGUGCUGUUUUUCGUGGUUCUCGUGACAAAAUCAUACAUCCUAAUCUCUCUCAAGCAGCAUUGCUUUUCCCACCAAGAGAUGACUUGCCUGAAAAGUAUGCCCGUCAGAUGGAAGGGUUAUGGUUUGUCGGAAAAAAAGUUGCUACAAGGAGAUUUGUAUUUGGUGCGAAAGCCAUAUCUGUAAUUCAAGAUGAAGCAAAGAGCGAGUCCGUGCCCAAGCCAUCACGAGUUCAGGCUGUCACUAGUUUUCUCUGGAAACAUCUAAUCGCUACUUCUCGAGCACUAACAUCAGGUAUGUAAAAUCAGUUUAGCAACAAGCCAAAUACUAAAGCAACUAAAUAAAAACCUAUUGUAUUUGGGGUAGUCCCUUAUUAGCUGUUGUCCUAAACUUCUAACGAUAUGAACUUUUUUCUCAAAAGAAAAAAAUAGUACACUUAACAUUUUCUGUUAUAAUUUCAUACUUAUUUAUAUAUUUUUAUUACAUACAUAGCUCAAAGAAUGAGAAAAUAUAUGAACCUGCAGGUACUACUUCAACAAGACUUUCUAUAGCAACCCAGGUAGUGAACAUAAGAUCACGGAGGAACAUGGAGACAGUGUGGGAUAAUGCCAUUGGAAACUUGAUAUGGUUCGCUCCGGCCAUACUAGAGCUAAGUCAUACAACACUAGAGAUCAGUGAUCUUAAGCUGUGUGACUUGGUUAACUUGCUCAAUGGAUCUGUCAAACAAUGUAACGGUGAUUACUUUGAGACUUUCAUGGGUAAAGAGGGAUAUGGAAGCAUGUGCGAGUAUCUAGAUUUUCAGAGGACUAUGAGUUCUAUGGAACCAGCACCAGAGAUUUAUUUAUUCACGAGCUGGACUAAUUUUUUCAACCAACUUGAUUUUGGAUGGGGGAGGACAUCAUGGAUUGGAGUUGCAGGAAAAAUUGAAUCUGCAUUUUGCAAUCUCAUAACAUUAGUUCCAACACCAUGCGAUACUGGAAUUGAAGCGUGGGUGAAUCUAGAAGAAGAAAAAAUGGCUAUGCUAGAACAAGAUCCCCAGUUUCUAGCACUAGCAUCUCCAAAGACGCUAAUUUCAAGAUAUUGAUUAAGGAAGAUUAUGCGGCUCGUGCAAUGUUUCCAUUUUGUUGUGAUUAAGGCUUAAAUUAGUUCACCAGCCAAUCAAUAAGAUGCAAGUAUGAUAGACUCGGUCUACGUAUGUUAUCCGAAUGUGUUUCCACAUGCUUGUAACCAAUAUAGCUCUUGUUUGUAACAAUGCUCUAUUAAGCUCUUCUAUCCAUAAAGUUAUUUCUCUAUUAAAAAGAAAACUAUACAAGUUUUGUUAAGUUUUUAAGGUAAGAUGCAUGUAGUACCCAAAAAGAUGGUUGACCUGUCAUUAUUUUCAAGUACAUGAUUAUCCGAUACAAUUACAUCAAAUAUUUCUAUAGCUAAAAAGUAUGUAAUUUUGAUCCGUGACAACAUGAUUAAAAAGUUAUAUAUUAUGAUGCAUUUAUCCUCUAACGACAAGCAUGGUCAUAAUGUCUCACCUCAUCACCUCACCAAGCGCGGAUCCAGUUCACAAGUGGGUAAGGCUCAAGCCCAACCAAGAAAAUUGGGGGAAAAAAAAACCUAAGUAUAGAUAUAUAUUUUUUUGGGUGAUAUAUCAUAUAUGCCCAGCCAUCAAGUGACCAAGCCCAACCCACCUAACUCAACCCAUCCCACUAACUACCCAAGUCCACAAUCAUCACUCAUCACUCAUCCACCCAACCUCCUUCAUCGAAGGAGUCCUUUAACUAAUCAGCUUAAACACCAAGUCUAAAAGUCUUCCCUGCUCUUCCCCUCCGCCUCCACUCAGUCACUCACCUAUGACCUAUCCCGGCUAUCCGGCUAUCCCUCUUCCCCUCCAGUCCUCCACGGCUCCACCAUAAUCUCCUUCUUCCCGGCCUCCUCCGGUCCUCCGAUUCCUCCCGGAUAGCGACGACUCGCCUCCGGCGGUCCGGACCUCCGCGGCUCCGCCUCCAGUCCUCCACUCACCUAUCCCUCUUCCAGCUGCUAGAAAGCUUGUUCGAGACUUGGUCCUCCACAGACAACCCAUUAGUCCAUUACCCAUCUUUCUUCACUCUCAGCCAGCAUGGUUGUACUAGAAAUUUUUUUUUGGCCUUCGGCCAAAGUUCAAGCCCACCCCAUCUUUAAAUCAUGGAUCCGCCACUGCACCUCACCAUAGUGUCCUAUCCUCUUAGGAGAAGGUAGGCACCUAAUGCAAAGGCCUUUAUGAGAGACUAAUAUCGUCUGAUCUUCUUUUCUUAAUCAAAAGAAAUGAAAAUGGCCACAAUGCCUCACUAUUCAUAGAGCCAUACAAUACUCUGGAACAUAUGCAUGGAGACAAAGAAAAAUAACACAAGAACCAUUAUAAUUUCACUUUAUACGGGAAACUUAGCUAAAUCCGAAUCAUGGGCGGAGCCAACCCAGGUGAAAUUUUGAAGCCCAAAAAAUUACCUGAAACAUCGUCGUUUGGGUGUAGGUUAUUUCUCCGUUUACUUCUUCUCAAUCUUAGUCAUAACUCACACCAUUGCGUCCGUAGCCCGUCGUUGUCGCUAGAGCGGUCGCCAUUUCCCAUAGCCCGCGCCGUCGCCCGUAGACCACAUCCCGAGUCAGUCAGUCCCCACUUGGCUACUUCCCCAGGUAUGGCUCAAUCGGAUUGCUUAUAUUCUGAUCGUGGACAUAGCAGGCUUCAAUUCAAAAGCCAUCAUAUUCAUAUGCUUCAAUGUUGCUUUACUUCGUCUAUAACUAGAGUUUCAGCUUUGCUUCGUCUUCAAUGUUGAUAUGUUGAUAUAAAAUAUUAACUUGAUUAGGAUUUGUUGAUAUAGAAUAUUACCUUGAUUAGGAUUUGUUGUUAUGUAAUAUGUAUUAGGAUAUUUAUUACUCAUAUUAGGAUUUGUUAUAUGAUCUUACAUCCUUACGAAUGAAUAUACAUCAACACAAUCGAAAUCUGCAUGGUCAUAUUAGCCUUAACUAGUUCAGUCCAAUUCAUAUUAGUCUUAAACUAGUUCAGUCUAAUUCCUCAUGGGUAUAUGCUGAACUUUAAGAUGUUGAUCUUCUAUAAUAACUGAGUUCGAUACCAGAAAUCUUUGAUGAUUGUCCACAUAUGUUAUCUUAUAAUCCUAUAUUAAUUUGUACUAAUCUCAUAGUCUUAAUUUGAAAGCUCCUUAUACGUCUUAACUUGGAUAUGGAUGUGGAUUUGAUCUUAUUAUAUGUAAUAUUAAAGUGAAGUUGUUGUAUUACACAGAAUGUUUGAUGAAUAAAUAACAAAUUGAUCGCGUCAAAAGGCUAGAUCAAAAAAUUUCUUGCACCAUCGAACAAAUUUUCUUGUGUAUACAAUUUCAUGGUUCCGCCACAUUGGCAACAAAGAGUGAUUGGAAAAGAAGAACACCCAGAAAGAUAAAAACCAUAAAACUUGUUUAAGCGAAAAAAACAAAAGUAUGCCAUUCAUUUCUUCUUGCGGUUUUGUUAGGCCAAAAAUCAAAAUCCCAUGAUACCCAAUCAGUUACACACUCUCCCUCUCAAUCUCUACAGAACUGACUGCUUCCCCUGAAAACUUGCGCAAUAAGGUACCCAUCUCUCUGGCCUUUUCUUUGUAAUGCAUAUAAGUUCCUGUAAAUUUUAAAGCUUUUGGAAUGAUGAUUUUAUGCUUGUGGAUCUCAAGAUGAGUUUGUUUGUUUUUUUCGGGAUUUUUAUAAUGAAUGCAUUGAAAAUGUUGAAAGCUUAUGCCUUUGUUCCUUGGUUCAGUGUUUUGGUUUUGUAUACGAGAGUUGAAAUGUGAUCUCUAGCUUGACUGUUGGUAUUGGUAAAGAGAAAUGUUCUAGAAAACCAUGCUAGUAUUAGUAAGUUAUCUUCUAAAGUUGUUCGAGUACUGUACUAAGCAUAGGAAAUAACGACCUAAGCUACCUUAUUUUCGUUAGUGCUAGCUGCUAUGAGAAACUUACCCAAUUCGUUGUUAAAAAUAGGGAAAAUACCCAAAUACUCAAAAAUUAGAAAGCUAAAACCCAUUCCAAUGAAAUUAUAAUCCUUUAGCUCAUUCCUAUGUUACACCGAUACUCCACCCCACGGACACUCCAACACUCCCGACACACCGAUAUCGAUACGAUACACCAAAAUGUGUGUCCGACACGCCACGUGGCGUGUCAAAAAAAGUUGACUUUUUAGACACGUUACGUCAGCCUGAGACACGCCAAGUCAGUGUGUAUUGAUUGAAAAAAAAAAAUACAGAACUAAAAGUCUAAAACCUAAUCGAAGAGGAAGCCCACUUUAAAGAAGCCGCAUAGAAGAGGAACGAUGUCACCGUUCACUAUCACUGCGAGAACGACGUCGUCUGUCCAUGUCAGUGUGAUUGUUCCUCCGAUGACACCACUCUGCGAGAACGACGAGAACAGCGUCGCCUUUCUCUGUUACAGCGACUCGUCCUCCGUCGGCCUAAACCCUCUCUUUAGUGUAAGGUUAAUCUUAAUCUCAGCUUUGACGUGUUUGGUGAUUGCAGUCUCAUUUGCAGUAACAGAAAAGCAUAUAAGAUUUUAAUCAUUUUAUGAUCAUUCUGAUACCACUUAUAGAUUUUUAAGGCAAUGUGCUAUUGAAGCAUCUGCACUGUGAUGUUAAGUGUCAUGAUAUUGCUCAAUUGCUGAUAGGGUAGGAUGGAGCUAGACAUUUGAGACUUUGCAAAAUUGAGUUUAUACCUACUAGUAUUAGAUCAUCAAUUAGUUGAGAGUUUGUAGGAGGUCAGGUUUUAUACUUGGUGAGAAACAUCGGCUCAUCUGUAUUUGUAAGGAAGAUUUAAUUGAAAGGAGUUGUGUAUGGAUUGCUUAUUUGUUUAUCUUUGCUCUGUUAAUUGUUAAUAUGUUAUGAUAUGCUGCUGUGUCUAUGCUGAUGUGCUUAUGCUACUGUGUGUCUAUGCUACUGUGUCUAUGCUAUUGUCUUAUGUUGUUUUGUUGGAUUAUUAUGAUUAGGAUGAGUUCAAGUGCGACAUCUACUGAACCUAGUGUUGAAUCAACUAAGCCUGAAAAAUUAGAUGCUCCUCUAUCAAGGAUAAAGGAUGAUGCCAAUGCAUGCGUGCCUUGCUCUUAUGUAUUUUGAAUAUCUCAGUUAUGGGGUUUUAGGCAGUUGGUGUUAUUAUAGGGUUAGGAAAGUCGGAUUUUCAUUCAGUUUGAUGAAUGUGUUGAAUUAGAUAAAACUAUUUAGUAAUCAUCCUUUAGAUUAAAUAUUGACUCUCUUUUAUGUUAUUUGUUACAGUUAUGCAAUUGCUUAAAUUUAGAGCAUUAUUUAAGCAAUGUGAUAAAUUUAUUCAUAUUUGAGCAUUUUUUUAUUAAUUAGAAAUAUACAAAUAAGUAAUUAUAUUUGCCGUGUCUAAGCCGUGUCGAAAAUGUAGUCUUUGAGUUUUGCCGUGUCGCCGUGUCAGUACGUAUCGUGUCGCCGUAUCCGUGUCCGUGUCCAUGUAACAUAGGCUCAUUCCAAUGAUUCUUAUGCAAAAGACAUUAUUANNNNNNNNNNNNNNNNNNNNCUCUCUCUCUCUCUCUCUCUCUCUCUCUCUCUCCUCUCUCUCUCUCUCUCUCUCUCUCUCUCUCUCUCUCUCUCUCUCUCUCGGUGUACGACGAUGCAAGGUUGAAGACGCAGCCUCCUACUGAGUCGACGAGACCGCGCUCGUGGUCGUGAUUCUCCUCAACAGCGACAUCGAUUUUGGCGGCACCUCUCGGAGAUGAUCCUCAUCUGCCAGAACCUCUGCAACAAUCUCUAGAGCCCUAACGAGCACAUCCGGGGCGUCACGCUCCAGUUCCUCUACUGGUUGAGCAAGUUGGAGAUUGUCCGGCCGUUGAUUUCAUCGAUUUUGGCCAAUCUAGUCAGAGAUUGAGGUCUGUGUUUAGUGCAAACAUGGAUAACGUUCUUCUUCUCCUUUUUUUAUCGGAGAUCGUGUUUUUGUUUUUGUUUUGGUCAGAGAGAUUGUGGUUUUUUCCCCUUUUUUUUUCAAUAUAAUGGUUAUUAAAUGAUAGUAUCUUGAUUAUUGGAGUAAUUAGUCUAUUAUUGGGAGGUAAGAAGUAUCUAGUGGAGGUCAAUAAACAUUUAUUGACCCCAAUAUUGCUUUUAUAAAUUUUUUUUGAGAUGUAGGGAUUUGCCUUAGAGGUAAAAACUUCCUUUUUAACUCGAUUACUAGGAAUCAUUAACUGAUUAUUGAGGUUAAGUAACUGAUUAUUGAGGGUCAGUAAGUGAUUAUUGGGGUUCAGUAACUGAUUAUUGGGGGUUAAUAACUGAUUAUUGGGGGUCAUUUUGAGAGUCAGUAACCGAGUUAUUGGUGAUCAGAAUCCAGCAACCGGAAAAAAUCUGAGUUACUGGGGGUCAGUAACUAAGUUACCGGUUAUCGGAAUCAGGCGACCGGAGAAAAUAUGAGUUACUAGGAGUCAAUAACGGCGACCGAAGAAAUUUCUGGCAACCGGGGACCGGAAUCCGGCGACCGGCAACCAGAGUCCGGCGGCGGGUGACCGGAGUCCGGUGAGAUUCCGGCCAAGUAUUCUCUCUCUUCCACUUUCUCUCUCUAUACAUGUUGAAGUGGUGAGAGUAAAAUUGUCUUAAAAAUAUAUAAAAAUUAUUUUUUAUUAUAACAUUAGUAAAGAUUUGUGCAUAAAAAAUGUUACCUUAUAUUGGAAUGAGCUCAUGAAAAAGAUUAACAUUAAAAUGGGGAAUAAGAGGUUUAAAUUAGUAUUAAAUUGACAUUUUCCCUUUAAAAUAAUAACAGAACCAUCAAUGCCGUGAUAGUCCCUUAAUAUUUGGUGGCUAAUUAGUAAUGCAUUCAUGGUAGUUGUGCUUAUUUUGUGCAUGUAUUCUAAUUCUAUCACUUGCAAAAUCGUUGUGGAAGGUUAAGAGGAGAAAACAGAAAAUGGGGCAGCAUGCAUCUCAUUUUAUUUCCGAUCAUAUUUUCAUAUCAUAGACGUUCACUAUUUAGAUAUACAUGAGUUGAUCAUCUCUACAAAAUUUCAACUAAUUUAGUUAUCAUUAAGGUAUCGAAAAUGUAUUAAAUCAAUGAACGAACCGAAUCUGUUCAUCCUGAACUGUACGUUCUAUUAGUUCUAAAUCACAGUUUUGAAUGUCUUAAUGAUUAUCAACUUGGCUGAAAAUUUAUAUAGAUGAUCUACUGAUAUAUAUACCUAAAAUAUGAACGGUUGAGAUGAGAAAAUAUGAUCGAAAGUGGGACAAAUAAUGAAAUCCGUACCUUAGAUAAGGUAAGGAGGUCCUUACCUGAUCAAGAUUGUGUGUGUGUGUCUAUAGAGUUUAGGGUUUAGAGUUUUAGGGUGUCAUGAAGAUAUCAUACAUCCUAAUCUCUCUGAAGCAGCAUUGCUUUUCCCACCGAGAGAUGACUUGCCUGAAAAGUAUGCCGGUCAGAUGGAAGGGUUAUGGUUUGCCGGAAAGAAUGUUGCUACAAGGAGAUUUGUAUUUGGUGCGAAAGCCAUAUCUUCAAUUCAAGAUGAAGCGAAGAGCGAGUCUGUGCCCAAGCCAUCACAAGUUCAGGCCGUCACUGGUUUUCUCUGGAAACAUCUAAUUGCUGCUUCUCGGGCACUAACAUCAGGUAAAAUCAGUUUAUCAACAAGCGUAAUGUAUUUGGGGUAGUCCCUUAUUAAUUAGCUGUUGUCCUAAACUUCUAACGAUAUGAACUUCUUUUUCAAAAGAAAAAAAAUAGUACACACUUAACAUUUUUUCUGUUAUAAUUUCACAUUAUUUAUAUAUUUUUAUUACGUAUAGUGUACUGUGUACAUAGCUCAAAGAAAGAUAAUAUAUAUGAACUUGCAGGUACUAACUACUUCAACAAAACUUUCUAUAGCAGCCCAGGCAGUGAACAUAAGAUCACGGAUGAACAUGGAGACAGUGUUGGAUAAUGCCAUUGGGAUCUUGAUAUGGUCGGCUCCGGCCAUACUAGAGCUAAAGUCAUACAACACCAGAGAUCAAUGAUCUUACGCUGUGUCACUUGGUUAACUUGCUCAAUGGAUCUAUCAAACAAUGUAACGGUGAUUACUUUGAGACUUUCAAGGGUAAAGAGGGAUAUGGAAGCACGUGCGAGUAUCUCGAUUUUCAGAGGACUUUGAGUUCUAUGGAACCAGCACCAGAGAUUUAUUCAUUCACGAGCUGGACUAAUUUUUUCAACCAACUUGAUUUUGGAUGGGGGAGGACAUCUUGGAUUGGAGUUGCAGGAAAAACUGAAUCUGCAUAUUGCAAUUUCACAGUGUUGGUUCCAACACAAUGCGAUACUGGAAUUGAAGCGUGGGUGAAUCUAGAAGAAGAGAAAAUGGCUAUGCUAGAACAAGAUCCCCAGUUUCUAGCGGUAGCAUCUCCAAACCCCCCAAUUUCAAGGUGUUGAUUAAAAAAGAUUAUGUGGCUUGUGCAAUAUUUCGAUUUUGCAGUGAAUAAGCCAAUCAAUAAGAUGCAAGUAUGAUAGAUUCUGUCAAUAUGCUUGUAACCAAUAUAGCUCUUGUUUGUAACAAUGCUCUAUUAAGCUUCUAUAUAUCUAUAGAGUUAUUUCUCUAUUAAAAAGAAAACUAUGGAAGUUUUACCAAGGUUUGUUCUGUUUCAAAGGUAAGAUGCAUAUAAUACCCAAAAAUAAUGUUCACAUAUAGAAUCACAUAAAAUAUUUUCAAUACUUUAGAAUCUAAUUUGGGUUCGUGACAAAAUGAUGGGAGAAUUUGAUAUACACCUAAUUUUGAAGAAUGGUUUUUAAUAAAACUCAUCUAAUAUUCUUUUCUGAUAUACAUCUAAAAUAUAUCAAUGUUCUAUUUUUUUCUAAAAUUUACACAAUUACCACCAUUCAACUAUAACAUAUAAACAUAAUAAAUAAGUUUAAUUGACGAUAUAUCUUUAAUACCUUGAUUAUGAGUUUUUUCUUGUAACACCAACACUUUUCAAUCAAUUUGCAAGAAUCAUGUAGGUUUCUUUAUUUUUAUAAAAAAAUCUAGGUGAAAGAAAUUCAUUCUCUGAUCUAUACAUAAAGUAGAAUAUAUUAUAAAUAUAUAUGAUCUAAACCUUAAAACCCUAAACCCUAUACCCUAACCCUAAUACCUGACUUGUAGGAGUUGGAUAUAAUACCUGAAUUUUAGGAGUUGAGUGAAAUAUUUGACUUCUAGGAGUUGGGUAAAAUACCUAACUUGUAGGAGUUGGAUAUACUACCUGACUUUUAAGAGUUGAGUGAAUUUCUGACCUCUAGGACUUGGGUAAAAUACAUUAUUUGUAGGAGUUUUGUUUUUCUUUUACUACCUUGUCAAAAUGUAUAUUGGUUUAGAUACCUCAUAGCUAUGUUAUCUAUUAAUGUCCUAUUCUAAAAUAAGCAAAUAUACCUAAGAAGAAGACAAAGUAAUCUAAGAACACGAUAUGUGCCUUAUAAUGAGGAACACUUAGUGUAAGUAUUUUCUUGACCAUUUUCUAUUUCUUGAUCUCAUCUCCGUGCUUUUCUUUUCUUCAAAACCUUUCUUCGACUAUCACUUGGAGAUACAGGCGAGAAAUACCAUGAUGGUUGCCCUCGUUCUUUCUUGCAUAUCUCAAUAUUCAGAUCAAAAUUUGUAUAUGCAUCAUCAAAGCUUAGAUUUAUGUUUACAAUUGAUGUAGCUAUUCAAAUUUGAAGAAAGUUAGGAGCUACAUUUGAGGAAUGUCUUCUCAUUUAAUUGGAAUGGCAAAAUUUUCUCAACAAAACAAAGAAAAUCGGAAGGGCAAAAAAGUAAGAAAAAAAAUGUGACAAUUUAUAAGGCAAGUUCAAUAAUGUGAAUUGGGUGUAGAUUAAAAUGAAAUAUAUGGGUAUGGAUUUAUCUUAAAAAUGGCUUCAUUUUUUGGGUUUUUGUCUAAUUUUCUCCAAAAUGAUUGAAGAGGUACAUAUUUUGAUACAUUUGUUAUUUAACGACAAGCAUGUACAUAACACCUAACCUAGGAGGAGGGUGUACGUAGUGUCCUUUCCCUUAGGAGCCUCUCGCGAAGGCCUUUCUCAAGGGACUGAUAUAAUAUAAUAUAAUUUUUUCUCUUUUUUUUCUAAUCAAAAGAAACGAAAAAUGGCUUCACUGUUCAUAAUUUGGAAUAUAUAGUGGAUUAUACGGUAAUUGUUUUGAGGGAGCUUCUUUCUCAUGUAACAUCCCAAACUGCACCUCUUCAGUUUGAGCACGUAACAGUGCCGCGAAACUUUAAAACAUAAACCGAAAGCUAUAAUUAUAUCCUAAAGUAACGCAAGGCAUUUUUGUUAAAACUUAUCGAAAAAUACAACGGAAGCUAAACCGAAAUUUGAGGUGAAAACGUUUAGUUUUUGAAAUUCUAUUUGUCGUAAUUUCAAUUCAAAUGCUCACCAAGUAUAAACAGAUAUUAGGGAAUAAACAAACAAAUAACCGUACUAGAAAACAUAUUUUAACGAAGUCCAAAACUACAGGACUCGAGAGAAAAUUUAAUUGAAUUAGGUUAACAACCAAACGACAAAUUAUAAACUUUGACAUGCACACCCAGCUCCGUCCUCCACUGUCCCGUCAGCAGUGCACAGUACCUGCACACACACACACACACUAUUGUAGGGGUGAGCUUUCGUCCUCGCUGCUCAGUAAGAGCUGUUCUUGACUAGAUUUGAAAAUCAAUAUUCAUGGGUACCCAGUAUAAAAACAAUUUAAAACCAAAUGCUUAAUGUAAACGACGUGAGUUAAAAAUCAAUGCACAUAUUUCAAUAAAACUAGCGCCAAGUCCAAACAUCACCUGAUGGCCGGUCCUCAUCGACCCACUAUCCAACUUACCUCAUUUUUCUUGUGUACAACAGGCAAGUGUAGUGAGAGUGUCCAAUUACGCCCUAUCGCCUAGAAGCAGUGUCACUCCACAAGGGAUGUAAGACACUCUUCCGUCCAUAAAGGCCCCUCCGGAGGUUUAGGGGAUCGAAACCCAAGGAAGUCGCUAUGCCCCCCUCACUCUCAAGCCAUCAAUAAAUCUCACGGUUUGGUCAAUAACAAUCAUAAUGUAUAACCAAACCAAACAUGCAUCAUUCAUAUAAAACAUGGGAAAAGCUUUAAUCAAGAAAAGUCAUGAAUCCCUUACCUGGAUUCCGACGCUUUUCCUCUCGUGCUCCACGAGUCAUGAACCUUUCGUUCCUUGAUCACAGGAAUUCCUGAUGUCCAACAUUAAUGUCGUUAACAUAAUAUCGACAUAAAUAUUCAAGUAUCGACGAUUAGUAAAUCGUCAAAUCAACUCAAGAGUUGACCAACAUUAUCCACAUUUGACCACUCAAUACUAAUAGUCAUUCUUGACCAAUUAUGUAUCUUGAACCCAUUUGAUUUACAAAUACAUCAUAUAGUAAGCCCAUAUAGAAUUACUAUAGACACCCGUGGUACUUAGGCCACUUUUCUUUAAACAUAUGCUUGAUUUCAAUUAUCAUGUCAAAACCAUUUCUCUGCCCAGGAGUUGAACUACACUCCUAACCAAAUUAAAAUCAUUUUCUUAGUCCGAUGAACACUACCACAAAUUCAAACACAGAGCUACAAUUCCUUUAUAUACGAACAGAAGCCAAGCCUAUCAAUCACAAUCCAAUACUCAGUAGAAGAAACUAACUUCGCAGUUCAAUACUUCAAUACUAAAUAUACAAACAUCAUUCUCCCAUCCUUAUAUCUCAAUCACCAUAACUAGACUCUUUUAAAAUCAAUAUCAACCUUUCUUUCCAGCCAAGACAAUUAUACAUAAGAGAUCCUUAAUAACAAUUAAACCAAAUUCUCAAUUCACUACCAAAUCGGUAAUUUCCAUUAGAUUUCAAUACCAUGACCAGCCCUUCAUCCCAUUCACUAUAACCUCCCUAUAUACUUCAACAUGAACACAGCAGUACACAAAGUGUCGAUCUUUACAGAAUUAGCCACACACAACACAACCCAAAUACCUUCAGCAUCUUUCUAUUUAUCAAACACCAACAUCCUAUUUCAUUCUAACUAUAACAACUAAACAGAAACUUAACUUCCAACUGGUCCAUAAUCAACAUAAACACAGUAAUACACAACUAGGCACCAGACUUUUAUAGAACUAGCCACAACGAAAUGCACAACUCAAACAUCUUCAAUAUUAUCAAAUUUAUACCAAUCAGCAACCAACAACAAUCUCUAAUUUACUUUUCGAAUUUACCUUCGAUAAUCUUGGUCAAAACAGAACUUGCUCCUUCACUGCCCAAAACUUCUUGUUGAAGAAUCAAUGACCCAAAACUCAGCAGCCCUUCAAAGUCCUGGUUCACUAACGCAGCAGAGACCAAAACCAAACCCAGAAACAAAGGAGGUGGGGACGAAUUCCGUCAAGGGCAGAGAAACAGCCCAGAAAUCCCAUAAACUAAAGUCAAUAAACUUCAAUCUAAACUGAAAAAUAAUUACCCUAGAACGAUGAGGACGACGAGAGAAAGGAAACCAUACCAAGAGAAGUCGGCUUCGCAGCCCGAAAACCCAGAAAUCCGGCGGAAAACUCGAACCUUCUUGUCGUCGUUCCUCCUCCUACGGUCACCGAUCGAAAAAAUGAAGGUUAGAGGAGCAUCGGGGACCUCAAGGCGGUUUGGUCGGUGGUGGCCAGUCGUCGGGUAGCCACCGGACGGUGAGGCAGCAUUGAUGCUCGACGUCGGUGUCGGGGAGAGAGACUGUGGUGGUCUGACUAGUUGACUGAGUUAGCCCCUUAGGCCCUUACAUACUCCUCACCGACUUUAAUUCCAGCGGCUAAGAUUGGACGGUCUAAAUUUUAAUGGUCCAGAUCUCACCGCAUAAAUUCCUUAUUAUUUUCUAACUUCCCAAAAUCAUAUAAAGUAGCUCGGCACUCUAAUUCCCCGAAAAUUUCCAUGAACUCAUCAAGGUACGUAUUUUAAUAUCAAACUCUAAUAUCAAGGUUUUCACCUUGUAGAAAUAUCUGAAAAAUAUCCUCGAGCACUAACUUAAUAACCGAAAUCGUAAACCAAUCCACGAACGAUCUCGAUAUAAUAAGCUCGAUAAAUUUCCGGGGUAUUACAUCUCAGGUCAAGGGUUCCAAUGAAUUUGUGCAAUGAGAUUCGAUUGGCAACAGUUAUUUGGGUAUCAACUCUCCGAUUUAGCACUCAUCAGUACCUCAUUGUUGUUGACGAUGGCAAUGAUGACGUUAGCGAGCAUGAAUGGUGUGCGUGGUAGAUUUAUUUGUAUUGUUGCAUUAUUGCUUUCGGAUGUAAGGGUUUCACCCUGUAGAGAUUAGCGAGCAAUUGGUCUCAUCUCAUUCUUUCUAUCUUGAUCGAGUUGGAGAUCCAUACACUUUAUUUGUAGUACUUUUUUUUCCUCACGUUUACAGGCUUUGUAAUUCCCUUGAUUAAUAAAUUAUCCAUUUUUCAUCCAAAAAAAAAAUCUGAAAAAUAACACAACAACCUCAUAAUUUCGCUUUAUGGGAAGAGACUUAGCCAAAUCCGAAUCACAUCCACGUCGGCAACAGAGAGUGACUCGAAAGAAGUGUGCACCCAGAAAGCUAAAAAUCCAUAAAAACCAGAAAACUUGAACAAGGGAAAAACUAAAGUAUGACAUUCCAUUUCUUAUUGCGGUUUUGUUCUGCCAAAUCCAAAUCCCAUGACCCAAUCAUUUACACUCCCUCUCAAUCUGUGCAAAAUUGACUGCUUCCCCUGAAAACGUGCGCAAUAAGGUACCUAGCUCUCUGCCCUUUUCCUUGUAAUGCAUUCAAGUCCCUGUAAAUUUUGUGGCUUUUGGUAAUGAUUUUAUGCUUGUGGAUCUCAAAUGGGUUUGGGUUUGUUUUGUUUUGGGAUUUUUAUAAAUGAAUGCAUUGGAAAUGUUAAAGCUUAUGCGUUUGUUCCAUGAUUCAGUGUUCUGCAAUUUGUGCCUUCUCUUCCGGAUCUGAUGUAUGUGAUGUUCUAGCUAGUUGUCUAUUGGGUUAAAAAGAUAUUAUCUUUUGAUUGUUUUUGAUAGAACAUCAACAUCAAUGAGAUGAAUCUGAAGUAGGUUAUUAGUUUGGAGAUAUGUUAAUGGUUAAUGAAUCAAGCUGAAGUUGUUCUGGUUAUUGGAGCAACAGGUUCUAUACUGAAGCAUCUAAUUUUGAAUUUGCAAAGAGUGGUUGACGAGUUAUCCUUGGGAUUGGUGGGUGACAUUGAAAAAGUGGAGUUGAAAUCUGUUACCAUGAUGUGGGUUCUAUUAAAAGACUCAUUCUUGAAUCUGGGGUCAUGUCCUGUGAUGACCCAAUUCUUGCAAAACACAACUGAGAUGUGUCAAAAUGGGUUCCGGAGCGUUUUUAUAUAUCGAAGUAUCAUGAGUUUCGAUACUAAGUGAGGGUGCUGGAUAGAAUUGAGUUUGGAGGUUCAAUGCUUCAAAAACAAAGGAGCUAGAGGAACGUAAUUCUUGAUGAUUCAAGACGGAUCAAUUACCUUGUAAUUAAGUUGCUGAUGUGCAAUUGUUGAGGUUAUGGUGUUUCCGGUUUGGAUACAGAUAGCUAUUUCUGUUUUAAGUAUAACCAACAUGUGUUGUAUCCUACAUACUAUUCUUCUUCAUUUACCUGUCUUUGAUCUGAUGUUCCAUUGGCAGAGCUCCCUUAUGCUAAACUGUAAAACCUGCAUUCCAGGUGGUCAUUCUGUUAGUAGAACUUUGGAAGGUCUCUGAAAGUAAACACUCGUCGACAAAUUUUGGGAGCAGUUGCAUAAAAGGAAUGGUCUCCCAACUCGGAGAUAAUGGAGACGCGUACUGGAAAUUCCCGUCCCAAUAAAAAGCAAUCUUUGGAGAAGUCUAAAUCUGCCACUGAAGAGAAAAGACCUGCAGAAAAAGAAGCAAACACUUCUGUGUUUGUCAACUAUGGUAAGUUCAUUAGAUAGUAAGUACUGAGUUUUCCAACAUCGCUGUAACACCAUGCAACUAACUCAGUACUGUAGAUAGACAUCUAUGUUAGUCUCUUUAGAUAAUAUGCACACUUUAACUUUUCAAAUGAUGUCCUCCAUUAGUUAAAUAGUUGUUCAAAAUCUCGUAUGUCACAAUAUUUUCCCAUCUCCAAAACCAGGUGUCCAUAAUCAUUUUCCCUCUUUGUUCACUAAACUAGUAAACUCCUCACUUAGAUUAAUGUUCUAAAUCUUUUAGUUUUUGUUCCAUCUUGACAUCACUUGUGGCUCAUUACUCCCCUGUAAACCAACUUCUACAGCCGAUUUAUACCAAAAGGAAUUCGACCUCUCAUGAAUGAGAAAGGUUUUUUUUUUUUUUUUUUCUCUUUUGUGGGGAAAGAAGAAGUAUGCAAUAAUUUUGGAAGUAACCUAUCCCCUAUCACCAUUCCUUGCAACAAGCAAUUACUUCUGGCAUUUUGUGGUUGAUGUUGUUCAUUUUGUAACUUUUGUUCUUUCAUGAUAAUAAAGCUAAUUUCUCAUGUAGCUGCAAUUGCUUGGCAUGAGAGUAGAAGAAAGUGGGUAGGGGAUCAGCGGCUGCAAAGAAUGGCCAAAGAUCCAAUUAUAAGGUAUUUUCUCCUCACAAAGGUUCCUGGAUAGAAUGGGGUUAGCAAGUCAUGGUUAAAGAGUUACACCUUAAAGUUUAUAAACAAAAGAAAAGUUAAAGAGCAUAACUGCCAUAACUUAUAUUCUUUGUAGGUACAAAUGAACUAAUUAACACUGGUGUGUCACUUUUUAGGAAAUUACACUUAUAUUUGAGUAUCUGUCACUCUGUCCACUACGUGCACUUGACUUGCUGAUCCGUAAAUCCUAGAUUUUUCAAAAUUGCUCCUUAGUCCUUUUGUUUGGUGUGUGUCUAUAUUAGUAGCUUUGUCCAUUUACUUGCUGUUAAAAAUUGUAGCUGCUAUAUGAAUGUCAGGAAGUUAAAUGUGAAAACUUUAUGCUGCAUAUUAUAGCACCAUUGUAAUGAUUGAUGAUAUUAGUGUCUUUGUCCAAUUAUUUUCUGUUCAAUUAUUGCUACUUCUUGAAGAUAAUGUGGAAAGUUUAUGUUUCAGCUGGUCAACAGCCUAUGAGGAUCUACUUUCAACCAAUGAGUGUUUUCCUGAGCCGAUCCCCUUAACUGUAAGUUGAUCAUAUAAUAAUAGCACAUACAUGUCCAAUAAAUAUCUUCUGAUUCCUUAGGUGUUACUGUUUUCCCUUGUUAUUUCCAUGUCCAAAGGAUAAAAUUUGUAUGUUAUUAGUAUUAUCUUGUCAAACCUUUUUCUUAAUAUUGUGAAUCUCAAUAACUGGUACAUUGUGCAGGAGAUGGUUGACUUUUUAGUUGAUAUUUGGCAUGAUGAAGGUCUGUUCGAUUAGGCAGUCCAGAAAAGUUCAAAGUAGACCCUCUACGAUCCCUGAUUACAGAUGAUAGUCUAAAUCCUUGUAGCUGAUUAAUCCCAUGAACUGGGAAAGCUUUGGCACAUAUGAACAACAGUAAAUCUGAACUGUUCCCCUAAUUCUUUGUAUGAUAAAACUAGAUAUUGUUAAACAUUGCCGCUACUGUGGGGAAACAAAAAAUGAAUGCAUCCUCUUCAGGUCAGAAUGAUGAUCUAUGAAUAACUUUCAGGACAACUAUGUUCUGUUUCCAGAUAUCAUCAGAUAUUCGGAUUUGAGGUCCUACUGAGAAUCAUGUAAUCCUACAAUCCUACUUUUACUUCUUUUUAUGAACUAAACCCUUUGAGGUAAUCAAAUGAGGAUGCAACAAUGACUCAAGUCUCUUACUAUGUCUUCAACAUCGCUAAUGACCAAAUUAGUUAAUGGUUUCCAGCAGCAUUGAUAAAUUGAAAAAAAUUAGAGAUUUAUCAAUUUUUAAAUGAAUUUUUGCUCCAGUAGUAUUAAGAAGUUGAUAAAUUUAGAAAUUGAUAGAGAAAAUUGAUAAUUUUAUCAAUUUUGGGGAGACAAUUAACUAAAACUUAGCUAAUGUAUACAAUUUAGCGCAAUACUGCUGGAGCAAAAGUUCAAAAAUUGCUAUUUUAAAUCUAAAUGUUGAUAAAUUUAGCAAUAAAUUUAACUCUAUUACUGGAGAUGCUCUUUUCUUCUGUACUUACUGAGAUAAAGAUAAUUUUCUUGGUGUUAAACAACUUUCUCAUUAAUUUUUACCAAGAUAAACUUGACGUAUUGUUUUGUAUGUACCGGUUUUAGCCUUCGAUUUUUCAUUUGAUUUUAGUGAUAUAAUUAAAAACCGCGCGUACUAGGUGGUGGGUAGUUUCCUCAUUUCCUGUCCCACUUUGGAAAGAUGAAGGAAACGCGGAGACGAAAAGUCUCCGUUUCUAAAGGAAGAACAAAACCCGAUUCCAUCUAAACAGAGUUUUUUUUUCCGUUCAAAACGUUGUUUGAUUUUCUGGGGAUCAGAAGGAGCUUAGACUCUGAGAAUGAAGAAGUUCAAGAGCAUGUUGAAGCCGAAGCCAAACCCAACAGAGCAACUCAAAGAUUGGCAGAGACGACUUCGCCAAGAGAGCCGCAACAUUGAGCGCCAGAUCAGAGGUGAUCGUCUAAGUUUUGUGUUGGUUAAAGUUUCAAUUUUUAUUGAGGAUUUGGUUUUGUUGUGUUAUUGGGUGACAUGUGUUUGUGUUGUUUUGGUGUGAAAGAUUGAUGGUUUUUCGUUUGGUAGAUCUUGAGAGAGAAGAGAAGGUGGUACAGAAAGCUAUUAGAGAAGCUGCAAAGAGAAAUGACAUGGGCUCAGCCAAGGUAGUGCAAGUUUUUCAGUUGAAAAUGUUACUCAAUCAUGAAUGACUUGAUAGAAAGUUAAAAACUUGUUGCAAAAAAGUUUGUGUUCUUUGAAGUGGAAGGGAAAUCUAUUUGCUUUGUAUGUUGUUUUGUAUGUGAAUUUAGAACACAAUGCCAAUAAUGGCAGGAUGAUGUUUUAGUCCUUGGAAUCUUUUUCUGCUACAUUUGCAUGUAUAUCUCAAGUGAAUUUUGGGUGUUUUAGAUUCAUUGGUGUUGCCAUUUAGAUUGUAGAACUGCUAGAUGUGUGCUUGCGUAGCUUUAGUACCGUGUGAAUUUAUGUCUUGAUUUGAUCUGUGAAUUAUUUUCAGUCACUUGCAAGGGAGAUUUUGGGGUCCAGGAAAGCUGUAAGUCGCCUUCAGGAGAAUAAAGCCCAACUAAAUUCUAUAUCUAUGCACUUGGGAGAAAGUGUUGGUAUUGCUUCGUACUCUCAAACAGUAUUCUAGUUACUGCAUAUGCAUUUGUACUAUCUGCUGAUGUAUAAGCUAAUUAGCUUGAACAAUCUCAAUAACUUGGUGCAUCAUACGUCAUGUUGCCUUUGUAUCUUUUAUGCAACUCCACAAUCCAUUCCCAGCCCCUUUUCCUUGGCUGAAAUUAGUUGUGUGAUAUGGUUUAUGUUCUUGCAGCACUUGCCCGUACUGUGGGACAUCUAUCGAAGAGUACAGAGGUCAUGAAACUUGUCAAUGACCUCACAAGAGCUCCAGAAAUGGCUGUCACAAUGCAACAAUUUACUAAAGAAAUCACCAAGGUAAUAUCCCACAUUGGGUGCUGGUUGCCUGUUAGAACUUUUUCUACCUCCUCUAGUUUCUUAAGUGCUAGCUUAAUUCUGUCUCUCCUCUUGUCUAAGUGGGAUCAUCUGUUGUUUUACUGUCUGUUCUGGUUUGUUUAGAUGACCUAAGAUGCUUAAUGGUGAAUUCAUCUUGAACCUGGAGCGUUAUUUUUUCAUUGUUUGAACUUCUGUAACUAUCUAUUUCUCUUGUUUAAUCAACGAACACCGAAAGUACAUUGAAUUAUAAUGUCUAAAUAUUUUUUGGAUAGCAUAGAAAGGAUGAAUUGUAUCUAAGCAGUGAGAGGAACCCUGUGACUGGAUCCCAGUGUUUGAACCGUGUUUUUUCAAUAAUGUGUAACAUUGAAUACCAUCUGAACUUUCAGGAAAUAUACUGAAGUGUACUUGUUAGGUGCUUGUGUAUUAUAUCUAUAUAUCUACUUGAAAUGUUUGGGUGUAACACUUUGGUCAUACAGGCUGGGCUAAUUGAAGAAUUUGUAAACGAUGCUCUUGAUACAACACUAGAUUCGGAAGAUAUAGAAGAGGAAACUGAGGAAGAAGUUGAGAAAGUUCUGAGUGAAAUAGCCGGUGAGACGGCUGCCCAGCUUCCGGAAGCUGUCAGGAAAGAGAGGACCAAGUUACCUGCCCAUGUAGCUAGUGCAUCACAAGAAGUAUGUGUUAUAUGAUAACCAUUUCUAGUUUUUCCUUGCUCAUCACAAGAUUCCAGGACCUAAAUUCUUGUUGCUAACUCUUGCAGGAACAAGCUAUAGCAGAGGGUUCAGAUGACGAAGAGGAAUUGGAAGCAUUGAGAGCACGGCUUGCUCAAGUCAGAUCGUAACUGUUCAUGAAGUUGUUUCCAUUGUUUCAUUGGCAUUAGGAAGAAUGUGGUUGUGCUUAUUCUCUAAAGGCUAUUAGUAGUACUUGUAAAGAUAUUUAGAUAAAACUUUAGUAUGAACUCAAAUAUUCUUUUAUGAACAACAUAAAAUAGUUCUUCUGUAUUAAAUGUUAUAUUACAAGGUUCGUUUAUCUUAGUGCAUGUAGAUCAGAUGCUUUUCAGGGUAAUAUAUAUAUGAUUCAAGUAGCCUUUUUAUCUUUUAUGCAACCUCCACAAUCCACCCCCGGCCCCUUUUUCCUUGGUUGAAUUCAGCUUUUGGCUUUAUGAAAUGUUUUAUGUGCUUGCAGCACUUUGCCGCACCGUGGGUGUUCUAUCAAGAAAGAUGCAGAAAUGGCUGUUACAAUGCAAGAAUCUACCAAAGAAAUCACCAAUGUAUUGUCCCUUUCCUACCUCUAUUUUUUUAAUUUUUUAUUAUUUUUUUUACUAGUGUUAGCUAAGAUACACAGGGGGAUUUCUAAGCUUAGAUGUAAAAUGCUUCAACCAUGCAUUGCAGCACAAUGUCUUACCACAUUUAUAAUUUCAAGGAUCAAACUCAGGUUGGGGAGCAAGAAUCAAUAGGCAAGAACCACUAGGCCGCUUGCAGUGGUUACCUAGCUCUAUCUACUUUCAAGUGCUACCUAGAAUAUCUAGUGCUGUCUCUGCUCUUGUUAAAGGGGGAAUUUCGUCUCUUAUCUAGUGCUCAAGAUACUUUGCAAGUUUGCAUGGGUUUAUUAAUUUGAUGACCUUCAGGUCUAUCAGAUUCAUGCGCUGUUUGUACUAUAGCUUUUGCCCGAAAGAUCUGUUUAUCAAGGAUACAAAUAUGCUCGAUCGGCAUUAUAUAUAAGCUCAUAUGGAUCAGCUAUGCUAAUGUCUAGUGACUCUUGUUUUGGAUGUCCAUCAGCUCCGCCCUUCUUAGUUUGUCAUUCUUAUACGCUUGGUGGCUAGUGCUUGGAUCUGUCGACUGUGCUUUUGUAUACGCUUGCAAUUUUCAUCAGCUCCCUAGCUUCUCACACCUCUCUGGUCUUUACUAAUGCGUCGGCAUAACAAUUAACCUCCUACACACAACUUUCAAACAAUAUAUCUUCUACUCCUCCAUUCUGUUUGUUUGAACUUGGAAAGUUGGAUGUGAUUCUCUAUACGUGACAAAUAUGUGCUGGUGGUCUGGUGGCCCAUAAUCUAACAUGAUAAACAUGAAGUAGGGUAAAGGAAAAGCAAUGGCGAAAGCUGCAGUCGGCAAGUGCCUUCCCAUUCUGUCAAAAUGUUAUUAAAUGACAUAUUUAUCCUUUUACACAAUGACUAUUAAAGACACUAAUUAAACAAAAAGUAAUAUUAUAUUUAUUCUCUCUAAAUUUUCUAAUUCAAUAAUAAUUGAGUGCAUUUUAUUAUUUUCCUUAUUGAUUUUCUAAUUUUAUCACAUACUUAUUAAAGCAUUUAUAUAUUUAUAUUAGCCCUUUAUAUUAUCAUACAUGUCACAUCCAUAUACAAAAUGAAAAAAUAUUUUUACAAAAACUAUAAUCUAUCAAUUAUUAAAAAAUAAAUAAAUAAAUAUCAUAAUAUUUUUACAAAAAUUAUGAUAUAUCAAUUAUUAAAAUAAUUUAUCAUCAUGAGGUAUAAAAACAAAAAUAUAAACUUACGAAAAAAUAGUUAUGUAAAAUAGAAAUACAAAAGUAACAAAAAUAUAGAAUAGUUCAUGUAAGAAUAUUCGUUUGAUGAUCGAUAAAUAAAAUUUGAGACACAAUCCUUGUUUUUUUAAUUUUUAAGAGAAUAACAUUCUUCAUGAUUCGAAUUAACUUUUCUCGAAAAUUGAUGUCAUUAAAAAUUAUUUCUUACAAUUUGAUCAAAAAAUGAAUGUCUAGUGAUUUUUUAUGCAAAAUAAAAAAAUUCAAAAAAUAAAGAAAAUCAAGAAAUCAAGGUCGGGAAUGGAGGUUUGCGUUAAAAAGAAAAAAGAAAAAAAAAUUAAAGAAUGGAAGUUGGGAAUGGAUGUUUGCAUUUAAAAAGAAAAAAUGACAAAAAAGAAUUGGAGGUAUAGUGAGUGAAUAAGAGGUGUAAUGAGUAAUAUAUUAAUAUAUAUGUGAAUUACAUAAACAAGGCUAUUUUAGGAAUUUGAAAGGAGGUCUAAUAAACAAAUGCUUGUAUUUAAAAGUAAAAUGGAGGUGUAAAGAGAAUGAGAGGUAUACUGAGCAAAUUUGGAGGUCCCAAUAACCACACUCUUAAUGAUAUUAUUGAAGUGGGUGAAACAAGAAGGUCUUCGAGUAAUCCUCAUUUUAGUCGAUAUUGGAAUUUGGAAGGGCUCCCUAGCUAGUCUGCGGUCAAUUAUCCAAAUAUUCAUAUCCGACUGUAUUCUCUCUAUUUCUCAUUAACUUUAGGGGAUGGAUGUCACACUCACAUUCAACAAUAUAUCAAAGUAAAUUAUAUGCAAUUAUUCCUUUUGUUUUGUGUGGUCUAUGUCUCAUUUCAAUUUUCAAGUCUUAGUCUUCAGUUUAUAGUCUACCCGGCCUCGUCUCGAAUCAGUUUAAGGUUCUCUUAAUUAUCAGAGUCACUGACAGACUGAGUAUGUCUCUGAUGAGAGUCACUGGCAGUUGAAGCUUCUCUUAUCUUCCUCUUUCAUCUAACCUCAUGCCUCCUCUUCCUAAAUGCUAUUUAUAUUUUACGGGUUCUUUGUUUAGACAGCUUUCUUUCUUUGGCUGAUUGGUUCAUUUCUCAAACAGAAGAAUAGCUCAGAUCUUCAGUUCAUCAUUGCAGUAUCAUAUUUCAACAAUGAAACGCUGGAAAGAUGAGGAAGACCCCGCUGAACCAAGGUAAAAUUAUCUUCUAUUUAUUUGUAUAACCAGGAUUUGUUUGAUAGGCUUGUAGUUUUUGUAAUCCUUUUUUCUUUCGAAGAUUAAUUAGCUAGGCUACGACUUGAAGAUAAAAACCGAGAUCAAAAAUCAUUUUCCAACAAUAACUAAAAAUUAGUCCGAUAGGUUCUCACAUUUCUCUGAGCCAGGCACCAUUUUCCUUUAUUUUUUGUUUUUUUUUUCUUCCUAAAAGCGACUCCAUAGACUUUCACUUUCGCGUAUCUUCUAAAAUUGCAGUCAUGGUAAUUUAUAUUAGAUCAGCAUGAACUCCCAACACACAAAUUUUAUAUAAUUACAUAAACAUAAGUAAUAGAGAUAUAUGACUUAUUAGAUCCUACAUACCCAUGUAAACCAAUAGUACGUACAUCCGUACUAUUGAUACGUACAUACACAAAUUUUAUUUUUUUUUGUAUGUCGUACCCUGUGUUAUAGGUGCUGUAUGAAUAUAUCACAAAGGAUACCAAGCCUGCUCGGAUGCAUAUUUUCAUGGUGAGUUGCAAUCUCAUGAAGUCACUUAUUCCUUUAUAUCUUGGUGAUCAACGGGCAAUGCGGAUGCCAUGGAAUGGAAAAAAAUUAGCAAGGCCGUCGAGGCAUCUUUUGUUUUCCAUCCAUCACAAAAGAAAAUAGAUAUGAACUCUCUCCACGUAAUGUUGAUUUUACGCUACAUACUUCGUUUUCGUAGUUUACGCUACCCUUAAGAAGCACAAAUUGCUGAUUGUUAGGCUUGGAACAUGUCUCUUCAAAGUAUUCCGGAAAAUUCUUGACAAUCUUGCGGAUUUAAAGUGGAAGGUCGGAUGCUUCUUCCGGGAGAAAAAUAGACUUGUAAUAAGACCAUGGUGGGAUAUAGUACUUGUAAUAUCUUGUGUCAUUGCCGUCUCACUGGAUCCUUUAUUCUUUUACAUUCCGACCAUCAAUGAGGAAGAAAAGUGCCUUGAAAUGGACACCAAGUUGAGGACUGUAUCUCUCGUUUUGCGAUCAUUCACGGACAUCAUCUUCAUUUUAGACAUUUUAGAGCAAAUUUCUAAGGCUUCAACAAUAGCUGAGAUAUGGUGGUCACUUGCAACAGACUUUCUUUGUAUACUUCCCGCUCCACAAGUAAGUAAACUUGUACUGUUUUUAAGAUAUAUACAUGGCUAAUAUCGAUGAAAAAUUAUGAAAUCUGAAGUUAUAUAUCUAUUUUGUGUUAGCUUGAAUCAAUUUGUCACUCACUUCUACUCUUAUUAAAAUUUGUGUGUUCAGGUGUUGAUCGUAGUCAUCUUUUACAAAAUCGAUUUUGGAUAUUUGAAUAAUUCAACGAUUAUGAAUGCUCUUCUUCUCAUUCAAUAUGCACCAAGGAUUUAUCAACUUAAUCAAUCGUUUGACAAUCUUGAGCAUGGUAUCGGAUUAUGGGUCAAAAUUGUAUUCAAUUUUUUCCAAUACAUCCUUGCUUGCCACGUAAGUUUAAAUUAUUUUGUCUUUAUAUAUUCAUAAUUCUCCUUAGCAAGGGUUUUACUUUUCUUAGUGCUUUAACAAUAUUAGUAACCAAUUUGCUUGUCUUUAGAUACUUGGAGCCUCGUGGUUUUUCUUUUCUAUUCAACGAGAGAUGUUAUGUUGGUACCAAGUUUGUGUAAAGCAUAAGACUUGCGGAACAUAUUUCAAGUGCAACGACGUCAAUAGUUCGAGAAAUAUCACAAAACUAGUUGAACUUUGUCCAAUGAAUCCACCAAAUUCCACCGUAUAUGAUUUCGGGAUAUUCGUUAAUCCUCUGGGAACUAGUAGCAGAACACCAAUAAACUUCUCGACGAAGUUCUCAUACUCCUUUUGGUGGGGAGUGCGAAAUUUAAGGUUUGCAUACACACACACACACAUCUAAUGUCGUCUUCAAUUAUGAUUAUAGCACCAAGUCGCUCAUAUAUAUUACUAUAUUAGCUCCAGCCUCUAAUUCUUCUUUCAUUCUUUUGUAGUAAUUUUGGCACAAAUCUUCAAACAAGUACGUAUCUGUGGGAAAAUUGGUUUGCAAGUCUGAUUUCCAUCAUCGGCUUGCUACUCUUUUUAUAUCUCAUUGGAAAUAAUGUUCAGGUUCGUAUAUAUUGAAUCCCCCUACUUGUUAUCAUGCUUGUCAACACUGACGAUUCAUUAUUCCAAGAUGUUCAAGUUGGAAAGAUUGGAUUCCGAUAGGCUCAUGCACAUGCAUCUCACUCGCGAUUCAUCAUUUUUGCAUUAUUAACCAUCGUCAGAACUCAGAACUACGAGAUUAUGCAUAUAAUUUACAAGUAUACCUAUGCAUGGAACUGAGCUAGCGAGCUUGUUAUUGUUUGUUGGGAGCAGACAUAUAUGCAAAUGAAAACUAAGAAAGCGGAGGAGGAAGCUGAAAGGUUACGGCUUGAAGCUGAAAGGAUAAGGCGUCAACAGACAAGGAUAAAUUUAUGGAUGGAACGACAUGAUUUCCCUUCGUUUGCAAGGAAAAACAUCGAGGAAAAAAUGACAGAGAAGUAUAAAGAAAACAAAGAGGCUAAUCUUGAUAAUGUACCGACUCUAUUAUCCUUUAUAACUUCAGGUUACAAGAGGUACGCAAGGGUUAAAAUCUGCCAGAAAAUGCUAGAGAAUGUAAGUCUUCAACCUAUAUCGCUCUGUAUAUGCAUGGAUCAUAACAUAUGUUUAUGGAAGUUACAUGCAUGCAGGUGCCAUUGCUUAAGGAUAUGGAUUUAGAUGUGUUGCUAACAAUUAGUAGAAGAAUGGAGAUAGUGGUGUACCCGGAAAAUACUUGGAUUGUUGAAAUGGACGAGCCAUUGGAUCGCAUGGUUUUCAUUACGGAAGGGACUAUGGGGAUCUACACGGCUAGAUCAGACUGUUCUCCUUCAGCAGUCAUUCAAGGGUCUCUUGAGAAAUGCAGUAUUUAUGGACAUGAACGACUACUGAGGUGGGUACUCUCACCCAACCCAGAUCUCGACCGCCUUCCUAUCUCGAAAGAAGCUGUCAAGUGUAGUACCAAAGUAGAAGGCUUUGUUCUCACAGCCGAUGACUUGAAGACAGUGCUAUCUGAUAAAGGUGUAAUCGGGGAGAAUUGUUCUGAUGAAGAUGAUGCGGAAGUUAGUGAUUCUAGUCUGAGAUCGUCAUUCCUUGUAGCAACAGCAGUGUCUCGUUUCCGGCGCCGCCUUCGAAGAAAGAAGCCUGCAUUACAUUUAGAUUUCGACCCCUCUAGCUUCAAAGGAUUAUGAGUCUGAUCCUAGUGUGACCAUUGUAUUGGUCGCACAAAAAUAUCACUGGUCGCUAUUAUAUAACAUCCAGAUAUAUAAACUUGAAGUAUGAGUCAUAAUGAAGUGCACGAUCAUAAUGAGUCACUAAACUAAACUAGACCUAAACAUAAUUGAGAACAAUUGAGUAUACGAAAGGAACUACUUCAAUUAAAUCAAAGCCAUGAAAUUUGAAGUAUGAUCACUCGCCUAGCUAGAACGGUUCACAACAUGUAACUGUGAGCCGCUUUACACGUUAUUACACCCCCUCUUUCCGUUUUUCUUGUUUAUUCCGGACCCCACCUCCUCGCUUUCCCUUAUUUUAAGCCACUUCCGUUUCUUCAAAUCAAAGCAACGAGAAGACACGUCACCACCCCAAACCAAACCGCCUUCUGCCGCGUAAUCCCCUCCAUCCCACCCCCACCCAAUCAAACCUACACAACACCUAAACGGCCACGAUUCAUUUCCCUUCCUGUACCCCACCGCACCAGAUCACCCCUCCCCAACUCCUCCACAACUACUUAACAGUCCACCAUCUGAGAGGACCGUUAGCUUUCUUUCCCAAGAAACCCAAAACAUGGAGCUCCCAACCUCUCUCCUUCUCGUCUUCUCCGUCCUUCUCUCUCCUCUGACCGCCCUCGCCGGAGUCACUGACCCCCGCGCUCUCGGCCUCGCCAGGUCCAGCUUCCCCUCCGUGCACGCCCAGCAGCUGAUCCGAGCCCUCAAUCUCUUCCCCGAGUCCGAUGCCAACAUCAUCACCGACGCCGGAGAUUCCUCUCCGAUCGGCGCCGGGAAGAGGAUCGUCGAGAAGCGGUUCACGCUCCCCAACGUCGUCGGCGAGUCCGGUGUUUCCGUCGACGACCUCGGCCACCACGCCGGUUACUUCAAGAUCGAGCAUUCUCACGCCGCCAGGUCAGGUUUUGAAACGUCUUAGGGUUUUGGAAUCAUGCAUUCUGAAAUCUCAGUGCGAAAAUUUGAAAUUUGAAGUCGAAUUGUUUGGAUUUUAUAUGAAUUUUAGGUUUGAUGAGUAUCUGAGCUAAGGGUCUAUGAAACUGAGUUUGGAAUUUGUUGAAUUUUGGGGAAUUUGUGUUUUCGAUGCGGUUUAGUUUAAUUUUUGGUGUGCUUACUGUUGAAAUUUGUGUGAUGAUGUAGGAUGUUCUACCUGUUCUUCGAGUCUCGGACCAAUAAGGAGGACCCUGUGGUGAUAUGGCUGACUGGAGGCCCAGGUUGCAGCAGUGAAUUGGCUGUGUUCUACGAAAACGGUCCUUUCUCGAUUGCGAAUAACUUGUCUCUUGUAUGGAAUCAGUACGGUUGGGACAAGGUAAUCUGUAUUUCCUUGUUGGAAGUAGUAGAUACAACUUCGGAACUACUGAUGAAUAGUUGAAUACAUUUUAUCUAUAUGCCUAAUAUGAGAAGAUUCUUAUGAUGUCGAGUAUUGGUUGUGUGUAUAAAAAUUGUUUCUUUGAUGAAGAAGAGAAGUUCCUGACAUGAGAAGAUUCUUAUGAUGUCGAGUAUUGGUUGUGUGUAUAAAAAUUGUUUCUUUGAUAAUAGUAUUACACUUUAUCUUUCUCUAUCAGUUUUUGUCAAAUAUGAAAUUGUUAGAGGGUUGAUGCUAUAUGAUGUUUUCCAGCUCGAUUGUUUAUGUUGUGGUCAUUGAAAAGUUUAUAAUCUUUUCUUAUGGUGUGGAAGGCAUCAUAAUUAAAAGUAUGCAUACUGAGUUUAUUGUGUCUUAAGUCCAUCCAAAGUAGAAUACUCUGUAAAUGACUGAAUUGAAGGUCUGUGUCUAUUGGUCUAUGUUCCUUUGCAAGAGAUCUAACAUUGCUCUUUCUUUUGCAGGCAUCUAAUCUAUUGUAUGUCGACCAGCCUAUCGGUACAGGAUUCAGUUAUAGUUCUGACAGACGCGAUAUUCGUCACUCUGAAGAUGGUGUUAGUAAUGACCUCUAUGACUUCUUACAGGUGUGUCACUUAGCCUUCGCUGCUAAAACAAUUAGGUUCAGUGUAAUUUAGCUAGAGUUACUGUCUUACUGAAUUUUUGCUUCCUAAAACAGCUGAACUAAUGAAUUACUUAAGUUUUUUAUAGUAUAUAUAAUGAUUCUCAAACUUGAAAGCAACAUCUUUUUGGGAGAAUCUGCUUUUUUCACCUUUAGAAUUUCAGUGGAGGAAAGCAAACGUUUUAAGUUUAUUAGUAUUGACUUAUUGUGAUCUUCAAUUAUGUCAGGCCUUCUUUGCUGAGCAUCCUGAGUUGGCAAAGAAUGACUUCUACAUAACUGGAGAGUCAUAUGCCGGGCACUAUAUUCCAGCUUUUGCUGCUCGAGUUCAUCAAGGAAACAAAGCUAAGGAAGGAAUUCAUAUAAAUCUAAAGGUAUGCACCUCCAAUAUUUUCUAGUUUUGAAAUGUUUAAUGGAUCCUUUUAUGGCUUAUUGGACUAACAAAAAACUGGUUGGAACAGGGAUUUGCCAUAGGCAAUGGGCUCACUGAUCCUGCUAUCCAGUAUAAAGCAUACACAGAUUAUGCAUUGGACAAUGGAGUAAUCUCGAAAUCUGACUAUGACCGCAUUAACAAAGUUCUUCCUGUUUGCGAGAUGGCUAUAAAGCUGUGUGGUAAGUGGCAAUGAGAGCGGUCCCUUCUCAUUUUUGAUUCUAUUUUUAGAUUCUUUUCUCUUUUUUACUGGUUAAGAUUGGCAAUUCUGUUGAUCAUGAUUUCAUAUUAAGGUGGUCAGUGACAAUGAGAGUGGUCCCUUCUCAUUUUGUAGCAACUGUUUUUGAAUUCUCUCUCUUCUUUUUUCUUGUUUGGCCCUUAAGGCUUGCAAAUCUACAGGUUAGGAUUGGUCAUUCUGUUGAUCAUGAUUUCAUAUUACUGUGGCUCCUCUUUUUUGAGACCCCUUCUAACGUCCCUCUUCUUUACUGCAUGAAUGUAUAUUCAUAUUUUCUGUUGGGUUGAGUUCUAUUAAGCAAGACUGUCCCAUUGCAUUUAUUAGCAACAUUGGUCGGUCAAUGGUCACUGCUGCCUGUUGGAUAAACUUUUGAUAUUUGUUUUGUUUCAGGUACUGAUGGUACAGUCUCUUGCAUGGCUUCAUAUUUUGUGUGCAAUACCAUAUUCAGUAGCAUCAUCGCAAGAGCUGGAAAUGUUAAUGUAAGACGGCUUCUAUUUCUUGCCCCCUAUGAUUUGGUCUUCAAGUCACUUCUACAGUUGAAAAACUAUUGACAUGUCGUUGUUGACAGUAUGAAUGGUCUUGCUAUAUAUUACCUCAAUCAACUUCUUUGAGCAGAAACACAUGUGAAAAUAUUGGCUGUGAUACUUUAUAGGAAACGGUUCUUCCAACUUUAAUAAUUGUAAAGCUGUGAAACUGAUUCUCAAUUGUGUUCUGUCAAAUUAUUGAUUAGCAAAGUAGUAUGUUUUUCAAAUUAUACCCAAUGACUCCAAGAAAGUAGUCUUCAGAAAAAGUUAUUUUGAAUAGUGCGCUGUGGGUCUUGCCAUCCUCAGAAAUAAUGGUGCCUGUGGAACACCUAGUAAUCUUGAACUUUAACGGUGGUUAUUUCACUGUGCAGUACUAUGACAUCAGAAAGCAGUGUGAAGGGAGCCUCUGCUAUGACUUCUCAAACAUGGAAAAGUUCUUGAAGCAGAAUUCUGUUAAACAGGCACUUGGAGUUGGAGACAUAGAUUUUGUGUCAUGUAGCCCUACGGUAUAUCAAGCCAUGCUAGUGGACUGGAUGAGGAACCUUGAAGUGGGCAUUCCUACUCUUCUCGAGGACGGAAUUCAGCUGCUUGUGUAUGCUGGAGAGUAUGAUUUGAUCUGCAACUGGCUUGGUAUGUCAUUGCCUUCUAUUUGAGAUAUUGCAACAUGCAAUGUUAUAUAUUUAUAUCAUGUGAUUCUUACCAACUGAUAUAAAUAUGUAUGUUAUAGGUAACUCAAGAUGGGUCCAUGCCAUGGAAUGGUCUGGGCAAAACAAGUUUGUGAAUUCGCCAGAAAUUCCUUUUGUUGUUGAUGAUUCCGAGGCAGGAGUUCUUAAGAACUAUGGGCCUCUUAGUUUCCUGAAGGUGUCUCUCUUCCCCAACACCCACACGGACCCACACUUGCUCACACACAUUUUAUUAGCAUUUCGCUUUAAUAAACAACAGUUGACUACCAACGAUGACCUAACUGUACCGAAUGUGUUCUAAACAGGUUCAUGAUGCGGGCCACAUGGUUCCGAUGGAUCAGCCCAAGGCCGCAUUAGAGAUGUUGAAGAGGUGGACUCAGGGCUCCCUUUCUGAAGCUGCAGCUGAACCUGAGAAACUGGUUGCUCAGAUGUGAGUUGUUCCUCAGUAUUAUAUAGAAUAUAGUGAACCAGUUAUUAUUCCCUGGUUUCUCGAUGCUGUAAAUAUACUGGCUCCGAUGCUGAAGCUUUACUCAGAAUUUAUUAGUUUCUGGACAAUAUGUUAAUCUUUGCUUAGUAGUUGUUAACUUGUUAUACUUCAAUAAAGUAAGAUUGCUUGUGGAUACUUGUGAAUAGUAAUGUGCUUGAGUUUUCUUCUGUUUGUUUAUUGUAGAUGCAUAUAGUUUAGGCUGUUAUAGCUAAAUAGCUAAUAACUAAAUGUUUACCACAAUAAACACAAAUUCUCUCAUUCCGAUUAGCUCUCCUUUCCAUACAAUAACUCAAGGUCUUAAUCUUUUGAUUGAUGAGAAAGAGAGGAUAGGCGUUGAGGAAAUGAUAAGUGCAAAAGAGAGGGAUUGUAAUGAGGGGACUAGGAAUUUGGCUAGGACUGGAGGACUGGAGCUGUGAAGGUUAAAUUGAAAGAGAGGGAAUUUGAGGAGGGGUUGUUUGAGAAGCUUAGAUUGAAAAAGGUGUUGGCACCAAAUGUAGAUGAGCUUCAUAUUAUUGCUUAUCAGUGUCCAAGAGUGCCUCAAUGAAGCUCAGAGGAAAGAGAUGGAAGUGGAUUCCAAAGAGACGAGUUGAGUUGAACGUUAAGGAAGUUGAGUUGGCUGAGAUGAGUUGAGUUGAAGUAUAGCUCCCAGAGCCUACUGCACUCCAUGUACCUAUCUUCGUUGUAUUGAUAUGACCAAUUGACCAUGAUCAUUUUGGUGCAGAAUCCUUUUUUACAUAUGGUUUUUCCUAGUGUUCCACAUGUUUUUUACCUUGCAAGAGUAACCCUUCGAGUAACUUUGGCAUACUGAAGGAGCAAACCUGAGAUAAAACUUGCAGUGUUGUUUCACAUAAUUUUUAUCUAGUUCUUCCCUACCUAAUCUAAUCUUCCAAUGCUGUAAAAGGAGUUUAGCAAUAUCAGCUGAAGAAGAAAUCACUUUUAUGUGAAAAAGUUGUAUAGCUGACACUGAUUUACAUGAUACAGUAACACACGUUAAACUUUGUUUCCAGAACACUUUGCGCUAGUUUCUCUGUUUAGUGAUCCUCCCUGAGAUCAUGUCCGUCGGAUUCCCAUACUCUUGAUUCAGCGGUCAUGAUCUGAAUGCUGCGUAUCAGUGAUGGUCUAUCUAUUUUGUACCCGCUAAAAACCAAAGUACAAAAAUGUUGACCGUUAACCUCACACACUUGUUCAACACUUGUUAAGCAUGCGAGGCUGUCAACAAGAGCUUCAUGUUCAACUCUGCUCUUGUGUCUUGUCAUUCUUGUUCUGUCUUUACUGCUCUCUCUCAUUUAAGCCUAAACCCUACUUCCUCUCAAUUUUACAAAACCUAAAGUCUUUUCUUUUCUCCUACCCAGAAACCCAAAUAAGAUGAUCUGAAAGAUGAGAGCUUUCUUGAUCAAGAACAAGGAACUAGGAACUUUUCGUUGAUGGAAAGCCCAGAAUUCCAAAGGUAUUGUCUUUAUUAUCUCUUCCGCUACUAUCAGCUCUUUUGUAUCUUCUAUGGGGUUUUAGUUUCUGUGCAUUUGCUUUUCUGGAUUAAUUUUGUGGGUAAAUUAUUGUUCUUUAUUUUUGCUGAACAAGUGUGUAAGGGUGGUGUUAGCUCUUUGGUUUUCUUAUAUGAAGAAAUUGCAAUGUCUGUGAUGGACAUUGUUUGAAGGAAGAUUUUGGUGUUGUUGAAGGCUUGAAGAAGGGAUAGGGUUUUUGGUGGAUAAACACAAUGGAGGAGGUAGGCUUGGGUUUGGAGGAGUGGGAGUUGAGGCACAGCAAUGUCGAAAGGCCUUCAAGAUAUGACAUUCCCGCUGUAAGAAGAUUGAAAAUCACUUCAACUCAACCCGGAAUUCGUUUAAGGCCCGGGAGGAGGAAAUCGGGCUUCGAGAGAAGCAGUUGGAAGAGAAAGAGUCUUAUUUUGAGUCUCUGAGGGAAUUUAAGGAGGAGGAGUUGAAUGCAAUUGAGGAGGUAAUUACAGAGAAGCUAAUACAAGUUGAACUAGUUAAGACUGAGUUGCAGUGUGUUAGUUUAUUGGUUGAAGAGAAGAGGCAGAAGCUUGAUAGUACAGAGAAGCGGUUUUUGAAAGUUGAGGAGUUGGUUAGAGAAAAGGAGAGGGAGUGUGAUUUGAUCCAAAACCGUAUUGAAGAGGGGACAUCGAAUUUGAGGAGGAUUGAGAAAUUCAUUGGGGAUAAUUUGAGAGGUGAUGGUGAACUUAAGAGGAAAAUGAGGAAACGUUAUCAACAGGCCAAAGACCUUGAAUUGAACCAGGCACAGUUUGAUUUUCAAUCAAACACGGAGCAAUCAGAACAUGCCCCUGGGGCUAACAACAAGGCAAUUCCUUUAUGUGGUAAUAAUGGUAUGUGCAUGAUGUUUUGUAUUGGUGUCCACAUAUGUUAAGAAUGCAUUUGAAAUAUAGGUGUUGUGUUACCAUAUAGGACUGACAUUCUCUUGAGAGAAGAAGAAAAAUGAAAGAAUGAAUGCGUAUAGUUCUUGCAUUAUAGGAUAGCAUUGGCUGCAUUCCCUAUUUUCUCUAACUCAUAUAGGUUAAACAAAGAUUAAGAUACAGUAAAAUCUUGUACUUUUAUUGUAGUAGCAUAAUAACAGUAGACACUCACUUAAAGAAGUUUGCAAAGCAGUGAUCUUAUAUGUCCUUUUAGGCCUGCAUAUCACAACAUUUUCCUCCUUAUCAUUUAUAAACUUUGUUAUCCAAGGCUAUUACCAAUUUAUCAUCGUUUUCUAGUUCUUCUCAUUACAAUCUAAGUUCAGUACGUGGACAUAUCUUCUGCUAUGUAUGUUCAUCAUUUGAUACCAUAAUCUUUGAUACUUGCAAAUUUUGCGUACACUAAAUUGGUGUUUUAGGCAGGCUGUCUUGAACUUGCUCAUAAAUACUAUCUGAUGUUUGAAAUAUGCAAAUACAUCGCAUAUUUCUCUGUACUUUUAGUUGCUCAUAAUCAUGUCUGAUAUGUUAAAUUCAAAACCUUGCUCGCUAACCUGUAUCUGCCAUUUUCAUUAUUUCUUAUUGCAAUUGCACAGUGACCAACAUCAUUUCUUCCCUUGCCAAAACGGAAAAACUAGAAUCAUCUCUGGCUACAAAUUCAACUACUUUUCUUUCUUCCAAUGUUCAACCAUAUGCCACCAGCUAUCAAAGGAAUGUGCCAGGGUUUCUAGAGGAUAAUAUGGGUGAGAAUGAUUCCACAGACAAUGAAUUGGCUGCUUCUCUUCGGUUGGUACCAGACCCAGCUAAACUAGUGUUGAACUACAUGCAAAAGUUUUUUGCUCGGUCCUUGAGAAAUGGACGUUUUGAAGAAAGAAUCAUGUUACCGAGUAACAUUUCCGUAUUGAAGGAGCUAUUGAUUGUUUCGCCGCAUGUCGGAUUGCAUCUGAAAGAAGAUUCGACAACUUUAGUAGCCCAGUGGAAAGAAAAGAUGAGAGGAAAUACUGUAAAAACAGAUGAAAGUUUAGUAUUUUUGAUGUUUAUCGCUAUGUAUGGAUUGGUUUCUAUGUUAAAUGUAGAUGAGAUUGUAACGCUUCUUGGGUUGAUUUCUCAGAGUAAAAGGGCUCUAGAAUUGUGUCAUGCAUGGUUUUGCAGUUAAGAUCGCUGGUAAGUUGUCAUUCCUAUUGUGUGGCUUGUGUUCCACUUUGACCAUUAUAUUAUUAUUGUUUCUUCUCGUUAAUCAGUUUGAUGACCGCUAUAAGUUUGUAUUAUACUUGGCAGAUUUCAUUCUGAUUCUGAUACAAAAGAAGCAUAUAAUGGAGGCUGUCAGAUUUAUUUGCAUCUUCAAGUUAAUUGAUAAGCUUCCGCCAAUACCACUAUUGAAAGAAUCUGUGGAGGAUGAAAAGAAGUGUUUUCAAGUACUUUGCAGGAUAAGGAUUGCUCUUGAUGAAAAGGUAUUCAGCUUUUUGAACAUCCAAUUCUUGCUUCCUAAAUAGUUAAUUGUAGGAGCAUCCUCAAUGUAUACGUAGAUUAAGUCGUCUGUACUUUUGAUCUGAGGUUAAGGCUGUAGACAACCUAAUAGGUUGUCUAAGAGCUGUGCGCCAAUGCAUCAAGGAUUACAAUCUCAAGUCUGAAUUAUCUGCACACAUUGAAAAGCAAGUAGUUCAGCUGGAAAAACUAAAGAAGACUUGGAGACUUUUGGCACCAUUCGUUGGUUCUAAUGAUGAACAAAAAGAGCAGAGAAAAAAAGAAAGAAUCUGAUAACAAGACUUGUUCUCCAGAGUUUCAACCAGGACAGCAUUCUAAACUACAAAAGUUAAUUUCUUCUGGUUUUUAGAAUGAAGAACCAUCCUAAUUCUCAAGAUCCUUUCCCGGUGAGAAGUUAUGAUUAUAGUUUAACAGACACCCCUUAUGGUACUGAUUGUGAGAUAGUUGACUGAACUGUUGGUAGAAACUAGAAAGUGGAGACCGUGCCCUCGACAUAGUUGGAUAUGUAUAUAGUAGACUAGUAGUUCUUGAAAUGGUAUCCACUGUUAAUUGGGAAGGUUUUAGCUUAUUUAAUAUCCCAGGUUAAUCUGAGCUGAUCAAGCUUAUUUCUAUCUUAAUGGAUUGUUUUGGCUUUACUUUUUUACUUUUUUGGCAACCAUAUUAAAGAAUCAACCCCUUGAGACACUUAACUCUAAGCUAAAGAAAACGGCUUCAAAGAUCCAUUAUUGGUCCAAGGUGAUCCUAAACAUGUCCAAAUGGAUGAAACUUUACAAUGUUUCGAAAACAUGAGAUACCAAAGUUAUUGAGCUUUCUUAAAAAGAGAAAAAAGAAAAAAAGAAAAAAAAAAGUUACUGAGGAACGAAACGUGGGAUACCGUCCGGAUGAUUUUGUCCAGAAGUUUGGAUAUGCCCAAGUAAAAGAACGAUAAAUUUUACUUUUCACAACCCCGUAAAACACAGUAACAAAUAAGCUCGUGUAAAUAUAACGUAAAACGGUGAAGAGUGGAAGAUAGAGAACAGAAACUGAGAAAAGUGUGUUAUUCAAAUGGCAUCUGCUCUUGCCUUCUCUCUCAAUUCUCAUCUGCUUUUGGUUCCUUCAAUUUCCUUAACUCCUUUGCUACCUCCACACAUUUCUACAGUUUCUUCAUCAUCAGCAACCAAAACCCAUCAUUGGAAGCUCAACUACUCCCCUAGAGCAUCUGCUGAAGGUAACUUUCUCCUUUUCUGAACUUCAAUUUCAGAUUGAUAUGAACGUAAUUGGUAUUGGGUAUAGGUUAAAUUCUGUGUCUUGGGAUUAAUUUGGUACUUUUUGGUCAUUGGUGGGUGCUGGUUUCCUGUAGUUACCUAUUUGUAUUUGCUUUAUGUAAUGGUGCAUGCUGUAUUUGCUUGAUACUUCUUGCUUAGUUUUGCUCAUAUAUAAGUUUAUCUGCGACUUGUUACAGGAGUGCCCGGUGAAUUGAGUGAAGAAGAGUCCAAGUUCGUUCCUCUUAAUGCUGAAAGUAUGAUAUUUGGUCCACCUGUAAGUUGUGGUCAGUUCCGCUCUAGUUAUCACAAAUGUUACCAAUUUUCUACUUUAACAUGUUCUCCAUAGAAAUCCUAUAUAAGGAAACAAAUGAAUGACUUUUGAGUAAGGAAAGAUUUUGAAACCGAUAAAUUGCCUACUUUAGUAGAUGUCAAUCCAGAUUUACCAAUAAAAUGAUACUUGUUUUGGAGCUUCAUAAGGUUGAAGAUUCAGACUUUUUGUUUUCCAGGCUUUGUUAUUGCUGGGAUUUGAACUGGAAGAAGCCGCGACGGUAAAUUUUUGUUCUCUCUAUACUUUACUAUUCGUGAAUUUGGUUGACUAGUUUUAUUGGUUCUUGCUCAUGGCGCUUACAAUAUUCUCUUGUGUGUGUUUUGAUGCAGGUACAAGAUUUUCUGAAACAGAUAGGAGGUGAUUUCCUCAAGGUAAGUUUACAUAUUUAUCAUUACUUCAGUUCCUACAUACAAAUGAACAAAAGAACAGAAUAGAGGCACACAUUCGUUGUCAGGGACAUAACACCUAAGAUCAUCAGUCAGUCUUAACCUCGAUACAGAAUUUACUGAUGGCAUAGAUAUUGUGUAAACAUUAUUUUGGCUUAUUGUCAUGUAUUAUCAGUAACUGAAUUUUAUGGAAAGUGGACGUUUAUCUCUCUCAUCUCAUUUGAGCAGAAUACUAAUCAGCAUUUUGGUUCUUGUUGUGUAGAUUAUUUAUUGUACUGAAGACAUGAUCACUGGUUCACUAUGGGAUGCAAUGAAUACAAUCCAACCCAAUUUGGAGGAAGUGAAGGUCAAAUUUUCUUCUUACUUAUGACUAAUUCUUGCUCGAACCAAUUUGAUUUGGGAUGCUCAUGAUUCACGUUUCUGUUCCUUGCUGUGCUCAUCACACAUGUUCUAGUUGUUUGUUCAGUGAUCAUAACUUGAUUUGGAUUCAACUCAUAUGAACCAAGCAAUUCCAACUGUGAUAGUAAAUUGAAUUUUACAACUUCUUAGAGAGUUUCUGAAGCAUCAUUAUACACAACCUUUUAACAUUGUUAGUUUUGUGCGAAAUUGAGGAACAUAAGAGUGGGGGAAGAGAGGAGGCCCUUUUAUGUAUCUCCAUAUUCCUUAAUUUGUCAAGUCCUAAACUUACAAGUAUAGUCUGGAAUAAUUGUGGUACAUCCUGCUCUGCAGAUUGCUAAGCCACUGCCGCGAAUAUGUUUCUUAUCUGGUCUUAGUGGGGAAGAGAUGAUGAUGUUGAUUGAUGAUUUUCCAGAGACAGGUGCCCUAUAGUUCUUUAUCCAUCCCAUAUAAAGUUUUUUUGGAUACAGCAUUCCUUUGCCGACGCCAAUUAUCCAUCCCAUACAAAGUUAUCAUUUUGUCUUCUUUACAAUGAUUAGAUUGCUAACUUUGACCCCAAAAAAGAAAAGGACUGGUAAUCUUAACAAAGCUUAUAGAUCCAUGAGUUCUAGUAAGGCAUUAAGAACUGUAAUCCUAGCAAAGCUUAUAGAUUCAUGAGUUCUAGUUAUGCAUUAACUUGAAUAAGUUCGUUGAGUUUAUUCAUUUCAAGAAUCUCAAAUGUAUGUGAUUCUUUAGCCUGAUGAUCUGAUUUUCAAGCAACUCAGAUCUACUGUAAUACCUAACAGUGAAUAACUGUGUUAUAGAUUUCCCAACAGCCUGAUUAUUUGGAUGUCACUACAUGUUUAAUUUCCUUCCCCUUUCUGCUCAUCAAUAUGAAAAUCCCAUUUAGAGUAUAACUCAUCAUCCCUAAAUUACCAUGUAGACAUGUCCUUAUGUGUAACUGGAAAUUUUCCUUUGGGUUUGUACAGGACUCGAACCAGCUGUUUUUGCAGCUCUUGUUCCCAACAGUGCCGAGAAACCAAUAGAAGAGUUGAUAGACGAGAUUAUGGCUGAUCAUGAAAUGAUAGUGAGUAAUAUAUUCUUGCUCCAUUCAUAUAAAUAUGCAGAAACCCAUCUAUCCCAUCUGAUCUCUACUACUUUCUUAUUUCCCUACAGACCAAGAAAAUGGAAGAGGAAAUGAGCAAAAAUCCGAUAAAUGAAGGUUGAAUUUUGUUUCUGUGGUUGAGACCGCAAGUUAUGUGCAUUCUAGAUAAAAUCUAGUUUCUGAAAAGAGGAAUGUAAUGCUAGAGAGGAAGUUAAGUUGCACCACCUAAGAACUGAUAUGUACAAGAUCUCAUUGAUCAGGUUAAACUUGGUUGUCAUGAACAAAGUUGGUGUACGGGAAAGAGUGUGGCUAUUGGGACCUCUAAAUUUGCUCAAUAUACCUCUCAUUCUCUCUACACCUCCUUUUUACUUUUUAAUAUAAAUAUUUUCUCACUAUAUCUCAUUUCAAAUUCCUAACAUAACCUUUGUUAUUCAUUAACAUAUAUUUCAAUUAAUUACUUACUUUACCUCUUAUUCACUCAAUAGACCUCUCAUUCUUUGUUUUUUUAUUUUNNNNNNNNNNNNNNNNNNNNCUCUCUCUCUCUCUCUCUCUCUCUCUCUCUCUCUCUCUCUCUCUCUCUCUCUCUCUCUCUCUCUCUUCGAUCUAAAAAAUUUCUCUCUCCUCUCUGUCUCUCUGAUCUCAGCCCCGUAAUUGAUAUCCUCGACACCAACCGCGACGACAAGAUCAGCAAAAUUGAUUGCUUUGUUUUGUUCAGGGUGGUGGAUGUUGGAGUGUUGUUGUGGUUAAUGCUUAGAUUGUGGAAUUGAAUUAGAUUGGAUUGUUGUGGUUAAUGCUUAGACUAUGGAAUUGAAUUGCAAGAUUAAUGUUUUGAUUCCUGACAGUUUAUUAGGGUGGAUAACAAGUUUGCUAGGGUCAGUAAUAAUAUAUUAUUAGUCAAUAACAAGUUUACUGUAAUAUAUUAUUAGAAUGGAUAACAAGUUUAUUGAGGUCAGUAAUUUUUUAUUAAAGAUUAAUAAUUUAUGAUUGGAGGUCAAUAAUAUGUUUACUAAGGGUCAAUAAUUCCGAAACCCCUUUUCAAAAAAAAAAGGGUCAGUAAUUCCGACGACCGGUGACCGAGGUCCGGGGAACGGUGACCGAAGUCGAGGGUCCGGGCAAGUCUUUUCUAUAUUCCACUUUCUCUCUCAAUACAUGGUUAAGGGUUGAGGGUAAAAAGUUCUAAAAAAAAAGGUUUGAGGGCAAAAUAGUCUUAAAAAAAAUAUAAUUUUUAAGACUUUUAAUGAAGAUUUGUUCGUUUGAGCACGAGUACAAAAAAAGUUAUUAUUCAAAAAGUCUCUUGAAAAAGAUUUUCAUUGAAAUAGGUAAUAAAAUGUUGAAAUUAGUACUAAAUUGUCAUUUUUUUUGUUAUUGGGUCUAUGUACUAUAUAGUUUCAGGGGGAAAAUGCGAAUGGUAUCUCACAUUUCAUCUAUUAAUCACUUUCAUAUCCCAACUUUUCUAAAUAUCAUAAUGGUAUCUCAAAUUCCUACCUCUACCCAACAUAAAUACCUGAAACUUAUUUCCUCGUUAAGUUCACUAACGUCUGGUAAUCUUUAAGGGGUAUUAUGGUCCCUUUCUAUUUCAACACCCCCUCCCAUUCAACGCCAAAUCCCUUUCAAAAAUAAAAGAGUGGCGCCAAAUAUGAAGAAUAUAUAUAUAUAUACGGAAACGAUGUGGAGCGCACGUCCGCAGUGCGCACGAAGCUUCGUUUGCCACCCUCCGGCGCCAAUGUCGGUGCACCUCCACCCCAGCAGACUCCAGCAGCAUCCCCGAUCACUUUCCCUCCCCGGCGAUCCCCAGCGAGGCCGCCGAAUUCCCGUUUCCGGCAAGAUCAACUUUAUUUGAAGUUUUGGGUGAUCUCGCCUGAAAACUGGAAUUCGGCGGACUCGCCGGGGAGGGAAAGUGAUCGGGNNN